rnacentral:lncRNA from 1 species
GUGUAUGUAUCACUGAAGAUGUGUGCAGUUUUCAUUGGGUGUUUGGCUUUGGAGGGUGCGCUCGGAUAGUAGCAGAUUCUCGUCUCAGAAGUCCAGGCUUGCAGCCCUAUGAAAGAAACUUGUUAUGAUUUGUGUCAUUGUGUCAACUUAUACAUGUUUCUGUCUGGAUGUUGGUUGGUUGUUGGUGACUUACUUUGUUGUAUGUUGCUCUCUCUCUCUCUCUCCCUCUUUCUCUCUUACUCUCGGUCUCUCUCUAUCAUCUUGAGAGAUGUUGUUGCCUCUCUUUUGAGCAAGGGUAAAUAAUUGCUAGUUGUCUGGCAGUGCUCAGAAAUCAUGCUACUUGCUGCUUUAGCUAAAAGAGCGUCUCAAAAUAUUUUGAUGUAAUUAAACAUCUCGUUGCAGUCUGAAAUCUUCAAUGUGGCUUGCUACAAGUCGGCGGCGGAGCCAAUAGCUGUAUAAAGAAGCAGAGGAAGGGUUAAAUGAAGAAGAAGUCGUGGACAACAUCCAGGGGAUAACGAAAUUGGAGAUCAGUUUGGCAGCAUGAAUCACGUUUCAGAGCUUAGCUAGGUUUGCCUUAGUACGAAACGGUCGGUCCCUUCACCCAUUAUAGCUCUAUGAUGAUAGCAGGAACCUCAUUAUCUAGGCCACAAAGGUAUUUAAAUUAGAAUGGUUCACAAACUAUGAAAGAAAAUGCAGGGCCACGUUCCCCGCUCUUCUACAGUUGCAACCCAUGUCCACUCCUAAAUCCUCAUGUAUUUGAUGAUAGCAUAUGCUCAAGUCUUGUAGGGAGCGGUUUUAUAGAUCACCAAGGUAAUCAGAAGUUGGCCUCAGAUUCUCCUGGUCUCCUUGUUUUUCCAUGUUCUAUGCCCCAAAUUUUCCAAAAACUCAGCCACCAAGCACAUAAGUCCGCACGCUGUACUAAUUGCCCACAUUGGAAUUUCCCCUUCAAGAACCUUGUUCCUUUGGUUCCACAGUAGCCCCUAGACGGCAAUAACCUAAAUUUUGCUCCUCAAGGGUAUCGUCAAUAUAUCAUCCAUCAUCCAUAAGAUCACACCCUUCCAUUUGUGCCCUCUAGCUCUAGUACUCUAGUCUCGUCUUGCGCUACAGUAGGACAACAUGUGAUUUCUCAGGUCCAUUUAGUUGUGUUUCAUGUAGUGCAAAUGUCGAUAUUCAUGCCAAUGUUCUGGCUUGGCCAGGGAAACUUUCCCAUUUGGUAAAUACCACUGGCACUACUAAUCUGCUACAGCAUGUAAGGCCAUUGCUAUUUUCUCUUGGUUUAUCAAACAUUUUAUUCUGCUGAUAACCAUGACAGGAAAUGAUGGGCAACUGAGAAUAUUACUAUGACACCGCAAGUAUGAUUAUGUGUAUCAACACCACAUAGAGUUUAAUAAGUUUGAGAAAUUCUAGUUUCCUGUUUUUGCUCUUUCUAGCAUACAUGUAUCAGUGUUGGUGCUAAAAUAGUGAAGAUCGCCUGCGUGCACUUCCGCCCGUUCUAUGAGGCAAAAAGCAAACAAGGUCCAGUACUCAACACCGCAUUAUAUAUGUUGCACAUUCAUUAUUCUCUAAUCUUUAUGCUGGUCAAAUACUCUAUACAAACAUUUUUGGACAAAGGGUGAACUUUAUUGGCUCAAACUGGAGCAUCAAAAGGAUAGAAUCACUAUGAGCACACAGCUAGCCUUGCAUAGAUAGGAUGCACACAACCAACACCAAUGCACACACACAAAAAAGCCGACAAUUAGCAAAGUCAUAUAAGACCAAAGUUAUGUGUAGGCAAGGAAAAAAAUCCAAAGUGAUAAGAUACGCUAUCAACAAACUAUAGCAAUAACUAUAUCCGCACCAAUCAUCUCAUGACUCCACACGAACGACGAGGUCCUUCAACAGCAAUGCCUUCAAGAAGGGAGCGGCAUUGACGCAGUCGCCAUCACCGGAUCCAAGUAACAAAGCCAGAGUCUAGGUUUUCACCCUGAAGAGUCUAGAUUAAAUAUUUAUGUCAUAAUUUUGUCAUCACAUUUGAUUGAUGUAUGGGGUAGCUCUAAAAAAGUAGAACUUGUUUGUUUCCUAGCUUAAAUUAAGCUUCUCCAAAUAGCCAAAUAAGAAUCCGACCGAUUUGUAACAUGGUUGAUUAAUGAAAACAUGUGACUUUAGCACCAUUGUGUGCAAUAGAAUUACCGUAAUAAUUUUUGGGAAAGUGCUUGUUUUAAUCAUUGACCUAUUAUUCAUCUUUGGAUCCACCUAGAGGAGCAGAUUGCGGCCUCCUAAGUAGCGGCAAGUGAAGGGGAAUAAGAGCAUGGCCCCAUGUGAUCGCUUGCAAUAUUCGGUGUAUGUGUCUAUGAUGUGGUAGUGUUGAAAGGGUGUCUAGCACUAGAGGGUGCGCGCGAAACCCUGUGAUGGAACUUGUUGUGAUGUGUCGAUGUAUGUUUUUCAAGUCCAUAAACUUGUGUAUCGUGAAUGGGGUGACGCGUGCUCGCGGGCCAUGUGUAAACCCUAUACCUAGUUAGUUGAUUGCUUGUGACUCUAUUUUGUUGUAUGUUGUGAUGUCUCUCUCUAAGAAAGUAUUGCUGCUGGCUUGUUUACAGAUUGUGCGUAAAAUCACCAUAUGUGGAUACGUUAAACAUCUCUUUUCGGUUGAAAUAUUUAGCGUGGCCUGCUAAGAGCACGACCACACCAUGGACACACCUGAGGAGGGGAAAAAUAGAGGGGAUGAUCGGCAUGGUGACAUCACUUGAUCACGUAGCCGACAAUCCUGACCCAUUUCAGGAGAGAAACUUUUGUUUGAGUGAAACUCGGGGACUGAGUUGUUCGUUCCAGAAUUGACGGCCCUGCAAAUUUCAGGAGCUGCAUUUCCAUGGGCUUUACCGUCUCUCUGUGUUGCUCGUAGGUGAUGCGCUAUGAGCAAGCGACAACACGCAACCAAGGGCAUAUCAGAGCCCAUACAACAAUCUUGUUGCACGGCAAUCGAGUCUACCAGAAACCGGUGCUCGUUUCCGUCGACACGUGGACACAAGACCAGUAGUUCCAUGAAUGAGUAACUCUAGCCGGUCCCCUGAAAUUAUAUGGAGGAGUAAAAUUUCGGUUUUACUACUCUAAUCGGCACCUAGCCAAUCUCCUAAACCGAUUAGAGGAGUAAAUUUUCACUCCACCGCCUAUCCAAAUUCUUAAUUUACUAGACCUGGAGGCGGCCAAGUAAAAGUUUUCGUCACCCAAAGGCCUCCUUGUGGCAGGUCAGCGACAAACGUGAAGCUCCCUUGUUGACGGCAGCGACCUCGGGCCUCGCUGGCAACCUCGCCGUAAAAAGUGCCUCCUCUCCCAGUGUUUGGUGCUGGUGGUGGGUUCCUGGACAUGAGGAAAAGCAUAUGUUUCCACGGCGAGCUCCAGCGGCGGUGCGGCCUGGCAGCGAUGCGUACGUCUGAGGCACCCAGCAGCUUAGCGUCGGUUGGAGCGCCGUCAAUGCAGAGUGCAAGUAUGUGGUCUCCGUUUACAGCCGCGGCCUUGGUAGCCGUAUUCUCGCCACCGCGUCAGCGUUCCUCUACGCGCUGCUCACCGACCGGAUCCUCCUUGUCGACCGGAGCAGCGGCAUGGGCGAGCUGUUUCUGUGGUGUGAAUGCCAGUGACUGAAAUCUGCACAUAAACAAGGUGCUCAAUAACAAGGUGCCCACGGUGGUGACUGAGACCUAUGGCAACAGUCUCAAGAACAAGGUGCCCACGGCUGUGAAUGAAACAUGCACGUAAGAGCACCUCAAUUGGGUCAAACUCCGCCUCCAGCUCAAGCACGAGCAUGAACACGACGGCGCACACGAGCACUAGCCUCGAUUAGUGCAGGCAGACGUGUGAUGUCCGUGUGAUGUCCGAGGUGUGCAACGUCCGACUUGCUCACCAGCCUUGCCGGUGUGGUCACCAUUGUCACGGAGGCGCAUAGUAGAUGUUCAAUGAAAUGUAUGAACCGAACCUAAGUUUUACUCCGGCAAAUUUAAGGGAUCGUCUGGAAAUGACCAAAACUUAGUGGAGUAAAUAUAAUUCACUAAGGUUUACUCGGCCGUUUACUCUAUGAUUUAGGGGAUCGGCUAGAGUUGUUCUUAUACAGCGCUCACUACCAAACGGCUACGUUAGAGACCCUCAUGAGCCCAACAAUACGCCCAACAAUACAACCUUCACUCCUCCUCCCAUCCUUGUUCACUCCACUGCCAUGGCGUCCGCCGCUAUGAGAGUCCGGCUCAACGCCCACAUCGCCUACAUGUAUGCCGAGGUGACCUAGUUCCCUUCCCAUCCCCUCCCAUCUACUCGUGUGGUUGUGGGUUUUGGCUUGGCUAGCUCGACAACUGACUUGGCCUUCGACAUUGCCUUUGCAUGGUCGACGUCAAUGCAGGGUCUGGCGGUCGAGCAGGCGUUCGAGGUGCUGUAGGAGGAGAUUACCGUUGUCGACGUAGCCCGGCUCUUCAUCAACGAUGCCUACGAGAUCCUCGAUAACAUUGACACCCUGAUGUCUGUAACGCCGUCUCGAUGCCCUCUAUAUCUCCCUCUGUUAUUUGUCUCUUGCAUACUGACUCAUCUUGUCUGAUCUGGGAUUCGCAGGGAGCUGCCCGUAGUGGACUUUGACGAGGUGGAAGCACUGACGCAGCAGCUCAUGUAAUGUAUCUCCAGGCGAGAUGACGCAUAGGGGCAUUUGCCUAGUUUCUUUACUGGCGCAACCUUAGUGAAAUGCAGGCCUUAUUUUCCCUUUUUGAAAAUGAUCACAUAUGUUUUAAAAAUAUUCAUCAAAUAUUAAGAAUGUUCAUCAUUUAUUAAAUGUGUUCACCAUGUAUCUUGAAAAUGUUCAUCAUUCGUUUUAUCAAAAAAGUUCGGAGUGUUUUAAAAAAUAUCCAUCAUGGACUUUAACAAGGUUGAUCCCUUACUAAGACAAAUUAGUCCGUGUUCAAAAAUGUUCAUCAUGUAUUAAAAAUUGUUUGCCAUGUAUCUUGAAACUAUCCAUCAUGUAUUAAAACAAUAUUCAUCCUCGAUAUUAUAAGAAAUUGACGGAUUUAGAAAAAACAAAUGUGGAUUUUUUAUAAAAUACUGGAUUUUUAAAUAAAUAAAUUUUUCAAUUAUAUGAACAUUUAUUAACACCUGAAAUGUUUUAAUUGCAUGAACAAUUUUUCAUACAGAGCUUAAACUCUUUUUAAAGUACAUGAUUUUUUUUAGAAAUACAAGUAAACUCAAAAAAAGUACAUGAACUUGUUUUUCAAUGUCAACUUAUGUUUUUAUUAUAUGUAUUUUUUUAAAUUGAGUGAUCAGUUUUUCAAUUGCAUGAACAUGUUUAUAAAUGGUUGAACACUUUUUUAUGUGAAGUUACAGGAAAAUAUUUUGAAAUAUGACAUUGAUUAUAUGACAAUUUUUAAAUACGUUGGUUCUAAACUUCAAAUUCCAUGGGUGCGUUGAUGAGCUGGUGGAUGGGCUAUGCAUCAGGCACUUUUUUCCGUCUAAUCUAAUACGAAAAGGAAGUGCUCCUGCCGUUUUCCCUGUCCUUUAGCCAUAAUUAAGUUGAAGCUCCAAGUUUAGUUGUGUUUCGUGUAAUGAAAGUACCGGUAUUCAUGCCAAUUGCAAUGUUAUAUAUGGCUCCACGAGGAAUACUUUGUCGUCUCGUGAGCAUGCCUACGAUUAAUGAUCUGCCGUUCCGCUGAUGGUAGUUUUUUCUAGUCUGUCCAUGUUUCUAUUCGGACGUUCUGACGCGCUGCCGUGUGCGGCUGUCGUAUGCACCAGUAGAAGAGCUGAGUUUAGUUAUGUUUGUCGUAACAUUAUUGCCAGUAUUCUUUGCAAUGGAAAUUCUAUAGCUUGUCAAGGACAAACAUUCUUGUAAUAAUGAUAUGCUAUUCUAUGUAACGCCAAUGUUCUUUUGUGAUUUCUCCACUGCAUCAAUGUUGUUUCCCCACUGCAUCAAUGAUAUACUCGCAGUGGUAUUUAAUAAGUAUGAUAAAUUUCUAUUUUUUUCUGAUCUUGCUCUUUUCUUUCAUUUAUCAGUAUUGGUGCGAAGAGAUUGAACCUCUGCUGCGUGCAGCACUUCACUCCUGAGGCAAAAACCAAAGAACGGUCAGUAGUCAGUACUGAAUUAUAUGUGUUGCACAAUAAUUAUUCUUCACUCAUUAUUGUUCACAUCUUUAUGUUAACCUGUCAGUUAAUAUUCUCUUUUAUGACACUAUAUUUAGCUCAGACAAUCUAAUAGCGUCAAGAACUAACUUGCUUGUUCACUUCAUCUUCUACCACACGUGCUUGUUAGAACACGGUUUAUUACAUGAAUAUGCUUCUUUGAUUGUUCUCUUGUAACUUGUGACCUCUAGACUUAUGUUUAUAGCAUGACUAAGUCUGAGAUAACUAGAGUCUAUUUUUCAAUCAGAUGUUUUUCUUAACCAUUUCAGCUCAGUUCACUUAAUCUCUCCAGAUUUUGAUAGUGCGGUAUAUUUGCAUUAUUCCAGGUACCUCCAGGCAUUAGGUCGUGUCAGUUUUCAGUUAUGCGAUUUGUGCAGUAUGCUCAAGAUCAUAAUAGAGGUAGCCCCUUAUGUCCCUAUGUUGAAUUGUAAAACAAACUUCUCAGUAGUAUCCUAAUACAUAGAUAUUGGCUGAAGAUAAAAAUUACAUUAAUGGUCUUGUUGUCGUUAUUUAAAAUUAUAGAGAGAGGUAUGGUUUUGUUUCUGGAGCACUUAGUUCGAGGUCUCUGAAAGUACAAUUUGGCCGUCGAAUAUUUUUGUUCUUAAUCUCCUCGUCACAUGCAGUAGAUGUACAUGAUAGCUCUAAGAAGUGGUGUUUCUUUGUUUCCCACCAUAAGUUAAGCAUUGCCAAGUACCACAAUAUGAACAAAAAAAACACAUUGCAUCAUGACUAAUUUCUGAAACCAUGUGAAUUGAGCAUCAUUAUGCAUCACAAAUAUGUCUUAAUCAUUGACGUGUUCAUAUUGUUCCAGCUGGAGCAGCAUUUUCCGGCCUUUGGUCCUAAGUAGAGGGGAAAAGGACAUAGCCCGAUGUGCUAUCUUGCAUGAUGGGGUGUAUGUAUCACCAAAGAUGUGGGCAUUUUUCUUUGGGUCUGUGGCUUUGGAGGGUGCACUCGGAUACUGGCAAAUUCUCGUGUCGAAAGUCCAGGCUCGCAACCCUAUGAAAUAAACUUGUUAUCAUGUGUGUCCUUAUAUGUGUCAACUCCACAUAUUUCUGUCUAGAUAUUGGUUGUUUUUUGGUGACUUUAGUUUUGUUUUAUGUUGUUGUAUCUCUCUCUCUCCCUCUCCCUCUCCCUCUCCCUCUCCCUCUCCCUCUCCCUCUCUCUCUCUCCCUACCAUAUUGAGAGAUGUUGUUGCCUCCCUUUUGAGCAAGGGGAAAUAUUUGNNNNNNNNNNGAAAUUUUCCUUGAUGAACCUUGCACCUUUGGUUCCAAAUGAACCCCCAGAUGGCAAUAACCUCCAUUCUGUUUAUCAAGGGUAUCGUCCAGAUAUCAUCCAUCAUCCAUACUAUGUCACCAUCUCAUUUGUGCCCUCGAGUGCUCUAAUCUCGACUUGCAGCACAGUGGGACAACAUGUGAUUUCUCAGGUCCAUUUAGUUGUGUUUCAUGUAGCGGAAAUUUCGAUAUGCAUGCCAAUGUUAUGGCUCGGCCAGGGAAACUUUGCCCAUUUUGUAAAUAUCUCUGGCACUACUAAUCUGCUAUAGAGCAUGUAAUGCUGUUGCCCUUUUUUUUGUUUAUCAAAUAAUUUAUUGUGAUGAUAAACAUGACAGGAAAUGGCGCGUUGGUGAGAAUAUUAUUAUGAUAUGGCAAGUAUGAUUAUGUGUAUCAACACGGCAUAGCGUUUAAUAAUGUUUAGAAAUUAUAGUUUCUUGAACUUUCUCUUUUUGGUGUCCAAUAUCACCGUUGGUGCUAAACAAGUGAACCCCGCCUGCGUGCACUUCUGCCAGUUCUACAAGGGAAACGCUUCGCAUCCAUUGUCUGGCAAGACUCAAGCGUCGGAACACUCAAAAGUCAUUGAUCUACUCGAAAUCCAUGCUUAAAAUUAGUCAUGCUUUUGUAAUUAAGGAAACUAAAAAAAUCACCGCACAACUUCUAUGCUAGAUCUUCUCCCCUAAUCCUCAGUUUCCACCCCGAACAUAGCACUGCUCCCCUGCCUUGACAGAUCCCUUUUCCCUCCGGUACCGCCCUGCUCUUCCUUCUUCCCUCUUCGUCUAGAAGCAGAGCAAACUCAUCGGCCAGUUGCGCCCUAGGCUCAUCCUUUUCUCUUCGUCAUUGAGCAGCCUGGCAGCCCCAUCCUCUACUCCACCGAUGAGUCCAACGGGCGUGAUCGGUAGUGCGUCAUCCUGACAUUAGGGGCCCAGACCCCCAUUUCGAUUAUGAUUCCUAGAUCAGCAGGGAGACCUCCUCUCCACUCCAUCUCCCACAUGAUGGCCCCCGAGGGAGACCUCGCAGGUGAAACAUCCUGAACGUCCAUGCCAUCUCCUCUGCAUUUGGUAUGGCCGUCGGAGAACAUGCAGAUGCAUCCGGUCCUUGUCCCCUCUUUGAAACCUCCCUCCCAGAAUAGAAGUUAUCAACAAUGCAUCAAUCUCCUCUCGUCUGAUCAUUGUUUUUCCUUCGUUCCUAUUGUUCUCCGUGUGCUGGCUUUAAUUUCAACAUUGUAAUUAGGUGUCUAUUGGGUGUCGAAUAUUCAUAGGUACACAUGUUCAAUGUGUGCCAAAUAUUUGUGUUGGCGAGAAAUUGUUCUAUCCAUGUAUUACUUCAUUUAAUCAUCAAGGAAUUUAAUUGUUUUUUGGUUUUCGGAACACCGAAACUUCCAUAGCUAUGUUGAUGUUAAUCAUAGUUAUUUUCUAGUGUUGAAUUUCAAUGCUUCCAACGAAGUUAAGAUUUUUUUAGAUAUUAACCUUUAGCAUCCUAUAUAUGGAGCUUCCAAAGUAUGCUACAAAUGUACAGAUAUUUUCCUCCUGGAAAUGCUUCAAAAAUUAUUGUUGACUUUCCAUUUCAAUUUUAUAUUCUAGUUAAAUUAGCUAGUGUUGACAUAGCACAUGCAUCCUACCCAAUAAUUCCUCAUCCGGAGCACUCCUUUCAUGCUUCAUAUUGGUUUGUUUUAAUUUCAAAAUUUCAUGGUUCCAAAUAACACUUAUUUUGUUCCUUGAACUAUCCUUUCAUCCUUCUUUGUCAUUGAGCUAUGUUUCUCUGGGCUAGAAAAUAUGUUUCCAUUUAUGCUCUAUGCUUACAUUAAAGAUGGAUCAUAUGUAUAUAGCAUACUUUGAUGGUUCCUGCAAAUUGUGCUUCCGAAUCACACCUCAACUUCUUCAACCAAUAUUAGUUUGUGCUACGGCCAUGGAAACGUUGCUUCUUCCGAUAAAAUUAUUGUUCACACCUUUUUUCUCUUGCAAACAAUUUUUUGUUUGAACCACUAACAAUGUAUGCUUCGUUGAAUCUCAUAUACGUUUCCAUGAAAAACAUACAAGAUGCUUCAAAAAAUUACUUAUAAAUGUUUCCAUGGUAGUAAAUCCCGCCUUCAAGCAUUGCCAAUGUGUGUUUCUGUUGUUGUCUUCACAUAUUGGUUCGAGCAAGCGAGUGCUUGAACCAAUACCAAUGAGUCCUUUUUCAGUGAUAUAAUUGUACAUGCAUUCUGCGUCUUGUGGCAAUCUUUUUGUUUCCAACCACUACCGAGGUUAGCUUCAUUGUUUCUUUCUCAUGAUUUUCGUAUACAGAUAUUUUGCCCACCUUAUUCAGGAGCAUCUUUACUUCCAACAGAAUGCUAGUAGUUGUUGAGUGUGCUGGACCAGGCAUCAGUCCUUAUCGGAGGCUACCUCGUUGAAGAACUUGUGACGUGUGAGGAUCUCUCUUAUGAUAAGUUAAUUGAAAAUGUACAUCAAAGCUGAUUAUGCAUAAGUGAAAUUAGUGUUGUUGAUGUGGUUAUUGUUGUUGCUGUUGUAGAAAGAAUUGUAUAUUAUUUGUUUGAGAUGAAAUUUGAGACGCUGUCUAUUCUUGUUUUGUGUUUCCAGAUGAUUCCUUUGGCGAAAAAAAUGUUUCUAUCAACUGUGAAUAUUAUUUUUGGCACACCAAAUAUUUUAUAAAAAAUGCUUCCGUAUCAUAGUAAUAAUGCUUCCAUGAAUACAAAAUAAAAAGUUGUCUAUCACAUGAUUGAAUAGUAUGUUUGCAUCGCAACGUGAAAGGGUGCUUCCAUCGAUUAAAGUAAUGCUUCUAUGAUUAUGAUAACCAUGACAGGAAAUAGCAAGCAGCUGAGAAUAUUACUAUGUCCUCAAACUCGGCUAUAUUACUGAUCACCUUACCAUUGGCAAUCUGCAAGGAUUUUAUGUGGUUCUUCCUUCUCCUCAUAGUAGCUCUAAGGUGGAAGUAACGAGUGCUGUUAUUACCACAACUAAACCACUCCACGCGCGAACGUUGCUUCCAUAAAAUCUCCUCUUCGUUGUAUAACUCCACAAGACAUUCAACAAUCUUUACCUCUUGGUGUGACGGUCCAGCUCGUCCAGGUAAGCUCCUUAGAAUUUCUAGUUCAUGCUUGAAGAGUUUGAUUUCGCUGCGGACAUUACCAAAUCUCAGGCAGUCCUAGCUAGAUAGGUCAUGAGAUAACUCACGUAGCUUAUCUUGCACUUCCGUGACCGAAGCCGCUUCAGGGCCAUUCUUCCAUGCCGCCUCCACAAGUGUUUUCAGNNNNNNNNNNUCUGGGUGCGUUUCCCACAUCAUCUCAUAUUUGAAAGAUCUAGCACCUUUGUUAUUCAUAAGCUCCUCGGAAAAAAUCAGAACAAUGGGGCUGUGAUCCGAACACACUGCCGAGGAAUGAUUUAGCUGUGCCGCCGGGAAUAAGGAGCUCCAUUUGUGUCCACAAUUGCUCGGUCCAGUCUCACCCUUGUGAAAGGUCCGCCUGCAACUUUGUUUUCAAAGGUCCAUGGUAAACCAUUGUGUCCCAAAUCGUGUAAGCCACAUCUACAAUUGACCUCUCAAGCUAACGCCAUCAGGCUCUGACUAGCGCAAAACUUCGUUAAAAUCACCCAUGGCUAGCCAGGGAAUAGCUGAUGUCCCCACCAAUGAGGGAAGAGUGUCCCAUUUCUUGUAUAUGUUUACGACCCUCGCUUAACCGUAUAUGCAUGAUAACCUUCAAGGAUUUGUUCCCAACUCAUAAAUAGCAGCAUCAAUAUGGUAUUUGGAGUAACCAUAAAUCUGUGGUUUUAUAUCAUCGUUCCAAAAAAAUUACAAGACCCCCUCUCCUACCGGAGCUACUAAUAGCUAAAGAUUUAUUAUAACCAAAAGACAUCGAUAAAAAUUCGGGGUGUGCCCUAUCCAAUUGAGUUUCAACUAAGCAUAACACGGCCGGGGCAAACUUGUUUGCGAGCUCGCAAACCUCUCGAACUGUCUUUGGGUUGCUCAACCCACGACAGUUCCACCUUAAAUACUCAUUGGUCACGGCGGCGCUCCACACGAGAGCCCGCCAAGGGCUCAAUUAUCUCCAUGUUAUUUUCCGGAUUUGAGCAACAAGUGGCACCCAGACCUUANNNNNNNNNNCUGCACUAGUGUCCUGCUCAUCGCCCAAGAAGACCAAUACAUGUCGCUUGUCCAGCAAACCCAUGCGUUGCAUACAAUCACCUUCAGUCAGCUCCGUCACGUAAUCGGGGUCCCACACUGGCAUAGUCGUUACACCAUGAGACGCUUCGGGUGCAGUGUUGCCUCACCAGCGCCCCUUUUUUUCACCCCCACUGCUCACGGAAGCCAGUGGCAGUACCUGUGAGCGAGAAGGUUGAUUGCCAAAGACAGGUAGAUUACGUUGUGCCUGUAACUCAGCUGGUGUUGCAAAAAGCUUCGCUCCAUAGAUAGACGUUGAUCCCAGCGGCUGAUCAUAGAUGAAGUGACCUCCAACCGCAUGUUCUUUCCAUAGACAAUCAGUUGACAACGAAGACGACGUAUACUUUCGCGCCGGGGCGGGAGCGGCCUCCGUUCGUGGAUGCGGUAGACUCCCGUUGAUGGUACAAGUCGGGGGCGGUGCCGGAGUCGCCAUCGCCAUGUUCCGCCCAAACUAACGGAGCAGACGUUUCUCAAUUAUCUCAUCUGAACCAACAUGACCAGUUUGAUGGUGGACGGUAGCGGCGCUGGCGGCGGCAAGAUGUCAAACCCUAGAUCAUCCUCAAAAUCGCCUGCGACGUACGUUCCGCUAGGACACGCUUGAAAGGUUGCCGGAUGCCUCAUGUUGAUGUAAGAGGGCGCGAUUACCACUAAAAAAUCUGCAAAUUGAUCUAGCAUUAUGCACAUGAUGAAAUCGUGUUUUUUCUUACAUAUAUUCUUUCUUUCUUUCUUUUUAGCACAAACAACACCCUUGUGUAUUUAUUUAUUUUAUUUCCAAGAUAUCAAGAAAUCGACGCUCCCUUCCAUCUAUGACCUGUGGGCCUGAGCUAAGGGCAGAACGAGUGGUUCGGAAACGUUUGAGAACGGCGCGCCGUGCGAAUUUUCCGCCGGACGCGGGCCACACUGGUGUUAGUACUAAUCUUGAUGCAUGUAGUUAGUUGGUUAGUGGAUUGACUAGUCAUGCAUGCAUUAGAUGGAUAAGUAGAUGUGUGUGAGUUAGCUAGCUAGAUGGUUGUAGUAGUUAGCUGUUAGGUGCGCGUCGUGCGUGCUGGCCGAGCAGAUCGCUCGCAUGCAGGCUAGGUGUGCGUGGGUGCAUGCACGGUGGAGACUUGGGCGUUGCGUAGCUGCUGCACUACAAAGUAGGCUGGGCUGUUCAUGUUUGCAGAGAGCGCGGGUAUGUGCGUCAAGGUGUUGUAGCGAUGUAGUCUGGGGUGAACGAGUUCGUGCUCGUGGAAUACAACGCCGUUCGUGCGGCGGGCGGAGUACGUGCUCCGGUGUUCCGGGAAACACUUGUGUCCAGCAUCCUUCUUCCUCCUUCAUCUUCUUCUUUGUUGUGUCAGAGAGAGAACGAGUGGGAGGUGCAGCGAGAGAGAGGCAAGGUGAGGCCGCGGCAACAACAAUUGGUAUCAUGAGCUUGGUGUCUUGGGCGUGCUUGCCGUGUCGGAGGCGUGGCGGCGGUGGCGGCGUUCGCUAGCGGCUGCGCGGUGAAGCUCGGGGCCGUCUGUCGGUCUAUGGAGGUGCGCGGCGCGGCAAGUAGGCCACGGUGGCCGCGGCGGACGCGGCCGACAUGGAGGCAUCGGUUGCGGCGCGUGGCGAGCGCGUGGUGACGGCGACGCGUGGUAGGUCCGCGGCUGUGCGGUGUGAUGUCGUGCAUGCGGAGAGCACGGUGGUCGCGGAGACGAGGAGGUCGCGGAGGACCUGCGUGGUGGCGCAGAGGUCGCGGCGGCUCAGCGCGACAACCGUGGAGGCGCGUGGCACGGAGCCGCGGCGGCCCCGGCGGACCUGCGCGGUGGCGCGGCGUGGCGGCAUGGAGGUGUUGUGCUGCGGUUGAGGCCGCGGCGGUGCAGGGCAAUAAGACGCGGCGGCGAGCCGGGCGCGCCCGGUGCGUGUUAUGGGUGCGCACUAGACGCGUCGGGCGCGUCGAGACCGCGGGCACGCGUACGAGCGUGCGGUUGACGUUGGGAGGAGGCAUAUGUCGUCGUGGUGCUCGAGUCCGUGCUUGAGUUCGGCUACAUUCUUCCGGCGUUUUUCACUGGCGGCUGCCAUGGCGGAUGCGGAGGCGGCACGCGGUGAGCGUCUGGUGCUGUCGGGCUCGUCGGGCGUGUCGGAUGCGCGUGGGACGUGCAGGACGCACUGGUGCUGUCGGGCUCGUCGGGCGCGCGCGGGACGUGCGGGGCGUGAAGGGACGCCAGGCGUGUGUCGCCGGCGGAGAUGGAGCUCGGCGUAUGUCGCCGGGGUCGUGACGGAGCAUGGUGCGACCGGUGUCGGUGCACCAGGUCGGGUCCGCGGGCUGGGUCACGGUCUUGGCGACAACGACGAUGGGAGCUGCAACAACUCCGGGGACGGCAAGUCAAGAUUAGGAGGGAAAUGUUAGUACUAAUCUUGAUGCAUGUAGUUAGUUGGUUAGUGGAUUGACUAGUCAUGCAUGCAUUAGAUUGAUAAGUAGAUGUGUGUGAGUUAGCUAGCUAGAUGGUUGUAGUAGUUAGCUGUUAGGUGCGCGUCGUGCGUGCUGGCCGAGCGGAUCGCUCGCAUGCAGGCUAGGUGUGCGUGGGUGCAUGCACGGUGGAGACUUGGGCGUUGCGUAGCUGCUGCACUACAAAGUAGGCUGGGCUGUUCAUGUUUGCAGAGAGCGCGGGUGUGUGCGUCGAGGUGUUGUAGCGAUGUAGCCUGGGGUGAACGAGUUCGUGCUCGUGGAAUACAACGCCGUUCGUGCGGGGGCGGAGUACGUGCUCGGGGAAACACCUGUGUCCAGCAUCCUUCUUCCUCCUUCAUCUUCUUCUUCGUUGUGUCAGAGAGAGAACGAGUGGGAGGUGCAGCGAGAGAGAGGCAAGGUGAGGCCGCGGCAACAACAACUGGUGUCGUGCGGCCAUGCAAGCCGCCAUCCGAGUGAGGCAGUGAGACGCGUGUAUUUGGUGGACCCGCGCAGACCGUUCCUUUCCUCCAUUGUCUUUUCUCCUGCACACCAUCCCCUACCUUCAGCCGCGCCCUCCCCGUGUCGUGUUUCUUCUCACUCUUCCCUUCGCCCGCACUGCAGCGAAACCACCACAAAGCACACUUCAGUUGCGCCCUCGUGUGAAAGCCUUGUCCCGCCGUGCUGCAAUCUACAAGUUGACCAGCGGCACGAUGGAACCAUGCCGAAAAUUACCGGAUCCGGCGGGGAAAAAGAUGGAACCACGGCCACAAGAUAUUGCAACGAUGCCGCGACAGGAGGCCCCCAGACCAUGGAUUUUUUUUUGGAAUAAGGGGGCGCGAUUUUUGCUGCAACUAGCUGCGGUGUAUGCUGGAACUGGUGAGGAAAUUUUCUGCAUCUGGCAUCUAUUUUUGUUGGAAAUCAUCGCCUUUUAUUUUUUGCUAUGUGUUUCUAUUGGAACCCGCAGCCAUUUUUGCUACUACCAUUUAUUGGUUUUGCUAGAUUGCGCAAUUUUUUCCUGGAAUCUGUGUCUUUUUUUUUGCUGCCACCAGAGGGUCGGCAACACCAGCGUGCUCGUUUUCUUGCUGUGACCGCGGCAGCGACGUGUUUUUGUUUGGAGCAGGAAUAUUUUUUUUUGCUGGAACCGGCAUGCGUUAUUGAUGCUACAGGCAAAUCAAUGGAGAUUUUGUUUUUGGCUGAGAUUAUUUUUGCAGAUGAACACGCUGGUCUGAGCGGACGACGGCGACGCGCGCAGACGGCCACGCGGGGAAUGCUGUAACCAUGGCGACGACGAACUAGAACCGGCCGACGGGUGAGCUGCCAAUGUGGCGGCCGAGGGACGAGCGCCAUUGGCACCAUUGGCCAGCGAGCAAGAGACUGUCCUUUUUAGUGUUAGGGCCUGCGAUGCGGCGCAGCGACUAGUCCGGUCGAGAAGGAGCGGCACUGCAGUUAGCGAGGAGCAGCUUCACGACAGGGACCGAUCCGUAGAUCCGUUCAACCGGCGUGAGCAGGAGGAAGGGGAAGGGCACAGGGUUAGCUGGGUGAUGGGCGAAAUCUGACGGCCACGCAUCUCACACCGGACGGCUUGGAUGUGACCGGCCUAUCAUCCCCUUAAGAAAAGCCAUCAGGCGCGUGCUAGCUGCUGCCUGGCUCCUGUUGUCGUCCUCAACCUGUAGCAGCAUCCAUCCAUGCAUCGUGUUGGGCAAUAAUCCACGGCGGGCUCGGACGCGUGCGCGUGUAUGUGCGCGCGCUGCGCGUGUCCGUAGGUGUGUGCGUGUGUGCGUGAGUCAGCGCAUAUGUGCAUGUGAGUCUGCGCCUCUGUUAGCGAGAUUGCCGGGGAGGCGAGACCGCGUCGGGCUCUGGAAGUGUCCGCGUAGUGCGCGUGCAUGCGCGCAGAGCGCGCUAGCCACAUAGCGCGGACGUGCAGGUCGUGCGAGUGGGGGUGCGUACGAGCGCGGGCUGGCGUGUAUGUGCACGCGGGUAUAAAACCCCGCUCCCUCCUAUGUAGUUGGCUGUGGUGAUCGACUUCGAGAUCGAGGUGAAAAAACAGAAAACGCCGUUCGUGCCACAGGUGUUUGUGUGCCACCAAAUUUAUUGUGUGUGUUUUCUUCCUCUCCGAUCGUGUCUACGGUGAUCGCCGACGAGUGCUAGGCCAUUCUGCAACAACAAUUGGUAGCAGAGCAACGGUUCGAAGGUGAUCGUUGGCGGCCAUGGCGCUCGUUCCGCACGGCGGCGGUGGUGGCACGUUCUCGCUGUCGGUCACCAUUAAUGCCGACCAACUACACCUCUUGGGCGAUCAAGGUGGAGGCAAUCCUUGAUGCCCAGGGGCUGUGGGGCAUGGUUGCAGUGCAGGUGGCGACAAACCGACCAUGAAGGCCGUAUGGGACUCCCUCAAGGUGCGCUUCAUCGGCACCGAUCGGGUGCGGGCGGCCCAGCUCAUGACGCUCCGCGGCGACUUCGAUCGCCUGAGGAUGGCGGGCGGCNNNNNNNNNNUGCGGAGAGCACGGUGGUCGCGGAGACGAGGAGGUCGCGGAGGACCUGCGUGGUGGCGCAGAGGUCGCGGCGGCUCAGCGCGACAACCGUGGAGGCGCGUGGCACGGAGCCGCGGCGGCCCCGGCGGACCUGCGCGGUGGCGCGGCGUGGCGGCAUGGAGGUGUUGUGCUGCGGUUGAGGCCGCGGCGGUGCAGGGCAAUAAGACGCGGCGGCGAGCCGGGCGCGCCCGGUGCGUGUUAUGGGUGCGCACUAGACGCGUCGGGCGCGUCGAGACCGCGGGCACGCGUACGAGCGUGCGGUUGACGUUGGGAGGAGGCAUAUGUCGUCGUGGUGCUCGAGUCCGUGCUUGAGUUCGGCUACAUUCUUCCGGCGUUUUUCACUGGCGGCUGCCAUGGCGGAUGCGGAGGCGGCACGCGGUGAGCGUCUGGUGCUGUCGGGCUCGUCGGGCGUGUCGGAUGCGCGUGGGACGUGCAGGACGCACUGGUGCUGUCGGGCUCGUCGGGCGCGCGCGGGACGUGCGGGGCGUGAAGGGACGCCAGGCGUGUGUCGCCGGCGGAGAUGGAGCUCGGCGUAUGUCGCCGGGGUCGUGACGGAGCAUGGUGCGACCGGUGUCGGUGCACCAGGUCGGGUCCGCGGGCUGGGUCACGGUCUUGGCGACAACGACGAUGGGAGCUGCAACAACUCCGGGGACGGCAAGUCAAGAUUAGGAGGGAAAUGUUAGUACUAAUCUUGAUGCAUGUAGUUAGUUGGUUAGUGGAUUGACUAGUCAUGCAUGCAUUAGAUUGAUAAGUAGAUGUGUGUGAGUUAGCUAGCUAGAUGGUUGUAGUAGUUAGCUGUUAGGUGCGCGUCGUGCGUGCUGGCCGAGCGGAUCGCUCGCAUGCAGGCUAGGUGUGCGUGGGUGCAUGCACGGUGGAGACUUGGGCGUUGCGUAGCUGCUGCACUACAAAGUAGGCUGGGCUGUUCAUGUUUGCAGAGAGCGCGGGUGUGUGCGUCGAGGUGUUGUAGCGAUGUAGCCUGGGGUGAACGAGUUCGUGCUCGUGGAAUACAACGCCGUUCGUGCGGGGGCGGAGUACGUGCUCCGGGAAACACCUGUGUCCAGCAUCCUUCUUCCUCCUUCAUCUUCUUCUUCGUUGUGUCAGAGAGAGAACAAGUGGGAGGUGCAGCGAGAGAGAGGCAAGGUGAGGCCGCGGCAACAACAACUGGUGUCGUGCGGCCAUGCAAGCCGCCAUCCGAGUGAGGCAGUGAGACGCGUGUAUUUGGUGGACCCGCGCAGACCGUUCCUUUCCUCCAUUGUCUUUUCUCCUGCACACCAUCCCCUACCUUCAGCCGCGCCCUCCCCGUGUCGUGUUUCUUCUCACUCUUCCCUUCGCCCGCACUGCAGCGAAACCACCACAAAGCACACUUCAGUUGCGCCCUCGUGUGAAAGCCUUGUCCCGCCGUGCUGCAAUCUACAAGUUGACCAGCGGCACGAUGGAACCAUGCCGAAAAUUACCGGAUCCGGCGGGGAAAAAGAUGGAACCACGGCCACAAGAUAUUGCAACGAUGCCGCGACAGGAGGCCCCCAGACCAUGGAUUUUUUUCUGGAAUAAGGGGGCGCGAUUUUUGCUGCAACUAGCUGCGGUGUAUGCUGGAACUGGUGAGGAAAUUUUCUGCAUCUGGCAUCUAUUUUUGUUGGAAAUCAUCGCCUUUUAUUUUUUGCUAUGUGUUUCUAUUGGAACCCGCAGCCAUUUUUGCUACUACCAUUUAUUGGUUUUGCUAGAUUGCGCAAUUUUUUCCUGGAAUCUGUGUCUUUUUUUUUGCUGCCACCAGAGGGUCGGCAACACCAGCGUGCUCGUUUUCUUGCUGUGACCGCGGCAGCGACGUGUUUUUGUUUGGAGCAGGAAUUUUUUUUUUGCUGGAACCGGCAUGCGUUAUUGAUGCUACAGGCAAAUCAAUGGAGAUUUUGUUUUUGGCUGAGAUUAUUUUUGCAGAUGAACACGCUGGUCUGAGCGGACGACGGCGACGCGCGCAGACGGCCACGCGGGGAAUGCUGUAACCAUGGCGACGACGAACUAGAACCGGCCGACGGGUGAGCUGCCAAUGUGGCGGCCGAGGGACGAGCGCCAUUGGCACCAUUGGCCAGCGAGCAAGAGACUGUCCUUUUUAGUGUUAGGGCCUGCGAUGCGGCGCAGCGACUAGUCCGGUCGAGAAGGAGCGGCACUGCAGUUAGCGAGGAGCAGCUUCACGACAGGGACCGAUCCGUAGAUCCGUUCAACCGGCGUGAGCAGGAGGAAGGGGAAGGGCACAGGGUUAGCUGGGUGAUGGGCGAAAUCUGACGGCCGCGCAUCUCACACCGGACGGCUUGGAUUUGACCGGCCUAUCAUCCCCUUAAGAAAAGCCAUCAGGCGCGUGCUAGCUGCUGCCUGGCUCCUGUUGUCGUCCUCAACCUGUAGCAGCAUCCAUCCAUGCAUCGUGUUGGGCAAUAAUCCACGGCGGGCUCGGACGCGUGCGCGUGUAUGUGCGCGCGCUGCGCGUGUCCGUAGGUGUGUGCGUGUGUGCGUGAGUCAGCGCAUAUGUGCAUGUGAGUCUGCGCCUCUGUUAGCGAGAUUGCCGGGGAGGCGAGACCGCGUCGGGCUCUGGAAGUGUCCGCGUAGUGCGCGUGCAUGCGCGCAGAGCGCGCUAGCCACAUAGCGCGGACGUGCAGGUCGUGCGAGUGGGGGUGCGUACGAGCGCGGGCUGGCGUGUAUGUGCACGCGGGUAUAAAACCCCGCUCCCUCCUAUGUAGUUGGCUGUGGUGAUCGACUUCGAGAUCGAGGUGAAAAAACAGAAAACGCCGUUCGUGCCACAGGUGUUUGUGUGCCACCAAAUUUAUUGUGUGUGUUUUCUUCCUCUCCGAUCGUGUCUACGGUGAUCGCCGACGAGUGCUAGGCCAUUCUGCAACAACAAUUGGUAGCAGAGCAACGGUUCGAAGGUGAUCGUUGGCGGCCAUGGCGCUCGUUCCGCACGGCGGCGGUGGUGGCACGUUCUCGCUGUCGGUCACCAUUAAUGCCGACCAACUACACCUCUUGGGCGAUCAAGGUGGAGGCAAUCCUUGAUGCCCAGGGGCUGUGGGGCAUGGUUGCAGUGCAGGUGGCGACAAACCGACCAUGAAGGCCGUAUGGGACUCCCUCAAGGUGCGCUUCAUCGGCACCGAUCGGGUGCGGGCGGCCCAGCUCAUGACGCUCCGCGGCGACUUCGAUCGCCUGAGGAUGGCGGGCGGCGAGGACAUGGACGGCUACACCUGGAAGCUCGUGAAGAAGUUGUUGGACACCGUCCCCAACCGCCUGUACCCUGCCUUCACCAGGAUUGAGCAAUUCUGCAACGUCAACGAGAUGGCGUUCGAGGAGGCCCUCGGGCGGCUGAAGGCAUUCGACGAGCGGACGCGGCACCACAGGAGAACGGAGGCGAGCGUGGGGGCGACCAGCUACUUCUAACGGCGGUGCAGUGGGCAGCGCGGUGGCGAUAGGAGGAUGGAGUUGCCUUUGACGACGACGGCGGCGGGGGGAGCACGGCGUUAGGCAGCGGAGGGAAGCGCCGGGGCCGCUUUCACCGCGACUGCACAAGGCCAAGGAAGGCGGCGGCAGAGCGGACGUCGACGUCGAGGCGUCCGGCCUCCUCUAGGCCGUGACUUAGGGGGUGUGUGUUGGGCAAUAAGCCACAGCGGGCACGGACGUGUGCGUGCCUGUGUGUGUGUGUGUGUUGGCGCCUCGAGUCCGGCCCGUGGCAGGCACGGGCGCAUGUCCGCGGGUGUGUGCAUGUGUGCGUGAGUCAGCGUGUAUGUGCGCGUGAGUGUGUGCGUCUAUUAGCGAGAUAGUCGGGGAGGCGAGACCGCAUCGGGCGCCGGAAGUGGCUGUGUAGUGCGCGUGCAUGCGCGCAGAGCGCGGGACGUGCAGGUCGUGUGAGUGGGGUGCUUAUGAGCACAGGCUGGCGUGUCUGUGCACGCGGGUAUAAAGCCCCCUCCCUCCUAUGUAGUUCGCUGUGGAGAUUGAGUUCGAGCUCGAAGUGAAAAACAGAAAACGUCGUUUGUGCGGUUGCUAUUUGUGUGCCACCAAAUUUUUUGUGUGUAUCUUCUUCCUCUGUGAUCGUGUCUACGGUGAUCGCCGGCGAGUGCUAGGCCGGUUUGCAACAACACAUCGGUCCAAAGGUAACUGCAUGCAUGCAUGCACUGAUGCACGCCAUCUCCAAGCUCUUCAUUAAUAUGGCUGCCAGCCAGCACACUAAUGGAGCACUAGAACAUUCGCUGCCAGCCAGUAGAGUAAUCGAAUUCGAAGCACACUCGCUGUGCCAGCCAGUAGAAUAAAUGUGCCGCUGCACCGCACUCCUCGCCUGUCCUCGUCCACUCCGCCACCGCAGCAGCAGCAGCUUCCAAUCCCGUCCCUCCCGUGAAGUGCUCUCUCGCCGCCCCAACAUCGCCAUGGAGGCCGCCGCCGAGCUCAGGACCCAGCUCCAAGCCCACCUCACCAUGAUGUACGCCACGGUGAGUCCCAUCCCUCCCCUCUAUAGCCACCGUGCCCACUGCUCUGAUGAUGGGUUUCGACUGGCUGUCCCUUGACCUCUCCUUGUCCUGACUCUCUGCCUGGCCCCCGUGGUCGAUCUAGGGUGCCGUGGACGCGUAUUUCCAGGAGCUGCAGGAGCUGGACGAGGGCAGUGCAGGCACGGGCCACGUCGCCGAAGUCCUCAACAUCUUCCUCAAUGACGGCGACAGGAUCCUCAGGGACAUCGACAGCCUGCUGUCCGUGCCGUGCCCCCUCCACCACGCAGCCUUGUUGUCUCUUCUCUCGUCUCGGAUACUGAGUACUCACUCACUUGGUCUGCUCUGCUCAAUCUGUGAUUCCCAGGAACAAGCCCCUGCACGAGGUGAACUUCUCCAAGGUGGACGCCCUGGUGCAGCAGCUCAAGGGGAGCAGCUCCACGUAUGAUGAUGAUUUCUUUUCUAUCCCCGUCCAUUUUUUACUGUCUGUGUGUUUCUCCGCUGCAUCGUUGUCGUGUGAUUCACAUGUGAGUGUCAUUUCCAUUGUUAUCGCUCGGCCAUGAACACUUUCCCCUUUUGUAAGUGUCGGUUGCAGUGUCGUGUAGCGAUAAUUAGAAGGGGUGAGCUUAGUUAUGUUUCUUGUAACGGAAGUACCGGUAUUCAUGCCAAUGCCAACGGUAACGUUAUGAACUUUCUGACGUUUCUGGUAUUAAUGAUAUGCUAUUCGGCCUAACGCCAUUGGCGGGUUUUUUUCUAGGAUGUCCACAUUUCUUUUCGGAUGACCAAUGUGUGUUGUUUCUGACCACCGUAUACACAUAAGUAGAAGAGCCAAGUUCAGCUGUCUUUUCCGUUACAGAGUUGUCAGCAUUCAUGUCUAUGGCAAUGCUAUAAUAGAUCGUCAAGAAAUUUGCCGUCUUGCGAACACUUCAAGUAUUAUUGAAUCCGUCAUUCGCCAACGACUAUAUUCUAGCUAAGCCGGCAACUAAAUUUCCAUUCUAGAAACAUUAAUUUAUGGUAUUUAUGGUCUGCUGCUCUACAUAUAUAACGCCAGCACUACUGAUGCCGUAGGUCCAAUUUUAUUUUUCUGAUUCAUCAAACAAUUUAUUGUGUUGACAGCCAUAGUGGCUCCUUGAGAAUAUUAUUACGACAACGCAUGUAUGUUUAUGUGCAUCAACAUACUAUAUUGUUUAAUAAGAUUCAAAACAUUCUUGUUUUCUGAUGUUGCUCUUUUUGGCAUGUAUCAGUGUUGGUGCUAAGAAAGUGAAUCUCGCUUGCAUGGAGUUCCAACAGUUGUACAUGGCAAAAAACAAAAAAGGGUUAGUACUCAGUAUCUCAUUAUAUAUAUUGCUCAGUAAUUAUUCUCUACUAUAUGUGUUGCCCAAAUCAUGUACGCAAGCCUGCCAGCUUAUUUUGUCUUCUAUGACUUUAUUUUUAGCUCAUACUAAUAUGAUAUUCUUAAGAACUAAUCUACUUUUUCACUUUGUCCCGAAUCAGGUGAUUGAUAGAACUACGUUCUUUAUUCGAGUAUAUGUCUCUUUGAUGAUUCUCUUGUAACCUGUUGGCUCUAGACUCCAACUAAGUUUUGAGAUAGCUAGUUUUUCUUUCCAAACAGAGGGCUUCAACUGCUCAACCUCUUAAGUUUAGUUUUAUCAACCGCUUCAGAACUUGACAAUAUGGUAUUUUUGCAUUGUCUCAGAUGCCUCAUGGCAUUGGCUCUUCUUAAGGGUGAUUUCUGUGACUUGCGGAACAAGCUCCAAACUUUUAUGCAGGUAGCACCUUAUGUACCUAUGUUGGCUUUUGAAUUCCAAUUUCUUGCUAUUAUGAUAAUAUUUGGAUUGGUCAUAUAUUAUUCAACAUAGAAAAGAAUAAGCUUGAUAUUAUUCUUGUUGCUGCUGAAAUUUAUCUAGCAAUACCUUGUUUGGUUUUUGGAGCACUUGGUUUGAGGUCUUUGAAGGUCCCAUUUGGCCGUUGAAUGUUGUUAUCUUUAUCCUGUCAUCACGUUUUGGCCGUUGAACUCGGUUCCUUAUAUUCCGAGGUUAAGUAAAAAAAAGUUCCAAAAUAAGAUACGGACCACCUUGCAACAUGGCUGAUUUGUGAAACCAUGUAACGUAAGCACCAUUGUGCAUCGUAGACCAGUCAUAAUCAUUACUGCAAAGUACUAGAAUAAAGAUACCGACAACCUUGGAACAUGGAUGAUUUGUGAAACCAUGUAACGUAAGCACCAUUGUGCAUUGUAGACCAGUCAUAAUCAUUACUGUAUUCUUCUUUUGAUGCAGCUGGAGCAGCAGAUCGCGUCCUUGUUUAUUAUGUAGCAGUAAUCAAAGGAAAAAGAGCAUAACCUCGUGAGAUUCCUGGCAUGAUGGUGUGUAUGUAUCUCUGAAGUGACUCUGUUGUGUUGGGCUUUGGACGAGCACACAGAAUCACACCGUGAUUCUUGCUUCAGAAGUCGGGGCUCACCAACACCGUGGAAUGGAACUUGUUGUCUUUUCUAUCGAAUUAUAUAUCUGUUAACUCUAGUUAUCUAUGUUUCAUUGAUGGCCCAUAGGCUGUGCGUAAACUCUAUACCUAGUUGGUUGUUUGGUUGGUGGUUGCGGACUUGGUUAUGUUGUGUGUUGCUGGUUCUUUUUAUCAUCUUAUGAAAUAUUGGUGCCUCCCUUUGGGUGAGGAGUUGGUGCCUGUCUUGAGGUCUCAAGUGUCGUUUUUAGCCACUAUACCGAGAUGUGUGGUUCGUCGGCCUCCUCCCCCACAAGAACCUCACAGUAUCACUGCAGUAGCAAAUUGUCCGAUCUGCCGCCCGGAGGAGAGGGGGAGAUAUGUUGGUGCAGGGCGCCGAAAGGUGAUGCAGGACACCAUCUACUAGGCAAACCCAAUGUUCAGCUUGGAGGUAUUAGAUGGAUUUUCUUGGAAGUAGCAGACCAGUAAAGAGGAUCUGCUGAAGCAAACUGAGAAGGGCUCGGAAGUGUCGGAGAAAAAUGUUAUGCUCAGAGGUGCCGAACCUAAUAGGGAUGAUCUCAAAAUAAACAUAAUUCGGUGGUUCCGAAAAAACAGUCAUGUGCACUUCGGAAGCUAUAGGAAACGUUGUUCUCUCAUUAUGGCCUACUCAUGCCUCAAACAUUGUAGUAUUGGGUGGAAAAACUCAGAGGUACAGGGCACUAAAAAACAAAAAAAAUUGAGUUCCUAGAGUGAAAUACUUGAGGAUUUUGGUUGAGCAUCUUAACUUGGAGUUCCAUCACAUAUCCUUUGCUUUUAUCCUUUUGAUAGUAUGACUGUUCUACAAUCUGUGUGAAUCUUGGAAUCACUAAAAGCCUAUAAGACUGUAUUUUAAGAACUUGAGGUACACAACCACCAGAAGAUACAGAUGUAUGGGUCACCAAUGAUGUUUCAGUAAAGUUUAUGGAUUGAUUUCCUAAGAUAAACUCAUCAAAUGUUCAUUCUCUCGAUCGGUUUGUCCUUAAUCACAAAAACCUAUAAUAGGGCUAUAUAAGUCGAGCUUUCAAUGUUUUAGUUUAGCGACGAGUUUGAAGUCUUAUUGUUGACUUUAUGUGAUAUUUGUGUCCUUUUAGAAACAGUAUGUUCAUUUUUUGAAUUUAAUUCGAACGCAAACUUAUUUUCAGUGGAGGAGCACAUUAUAAAUAAAGAUAGAAUGAGUUUUAGGCUUUUAGGUAUAGAUAACAAGAUUGUAGGCUAGGUGGUGGAGUAGAUACAAAAACUUCUCAUAUUCGCUCUCCUAUUCCUAAAAAAGAUGUUAGGUCACCAAAUAUAGCAGUUCUAUUGCAAUGCUCUUAAUCUACAUUCCGUGCACCUGCAAAACAUAAAAUGUGGCUACUUAUGUCCUACACCACAAGAAAAUGUAUCAAGUGAUGUGUGAAUAGUAAAUGCAUUCACUUAUCUCUUUUCUUCUCACAUGGAUCAUGAGUGCUCGUAUUUCAAACUCGUCGCUAAACUAAAACAUUGAAAAAUGGAGGGAGUAAUAUUUAUAAGUCGAGCUUUCAAUGUUAUAGUUUAGCGACGAGUUGAUGGCCUUGUAUUGAUGCAAAAUGUAUUUUUGAUAGUGGCCUUGUAUAAGGGAAUGGAGGGAGUAAUAUUUUACGUGCAAACAAUACACCAGACCAUAUGCAUAUGUAUAUCUAUAUACCUAUACUAAUUAGGCCCUCCCAAGAAAUUAUCACGUUAAUCAGAAAUUAGAAGCCGUUAAUCUGGUGGGGCCGAGUUAUUACGGUGUAGAUCAAUCUUAGAAAUUUCUAGGUUCAUAAAUAAACAAUCUGGUGGGGCCGAGGUAUUAUGGUGUAGGUCAAUCCUAGAAAUCCUCAAGUCACUGCUACGCGUUCGUCAGCGGAUCUUUUUAAAAGAUUCGUCGCCUCACGAGCCGUUGGAUGAGAUGGAUUGAACGGCCGAGUGUGACCUUUUAUCAUUGCAGCACAGGUCGUGUUGCGGGAAAUUUUUGCAACAUGGGUCAUGUUGCAGAAAUUUUGAAAGAUAAUUUUUUUGCAACAAAGGUCUUUUUAUAGUUUUCGUUGCAACAGAUAUUUGGUUGAAAUUUAGUUUUUUUUGCAACGAAGGUCUCGUUGCAAAUUUAAUUUUUCUGCAAUAGAGGUCUUGUUGCAAUUUUGCAACAGAGACCUUGUUGCGGAAACACACCGUAGUGGACAGCAGCAGCACGUUGAUCGAAAGAACAAAAUAAAGAAAAUGACCGCUCAGUCAGGACACGUGUCGUAUGGACGAGCCGGCGGAGGGAAGAGGCACGAGCGCUGCUGUAAUUGUGGCCAGCGAGAGCACGAGGCCUCGGAAGGUGGUGGCGGUGUAGCAAGCCCUCAUCACGGAGGCCGGUAACACCUCGAGCCGGCACUGCUCUAGGCUGUGGCUUAGGGGGUGAAUGAUAGCCAAAUUAGCCACGGCUAUGCCCAGGGCGCAUCGGGUGCGCGUGCGUCCGUGCGCCAGACGUGCCGGACGUGGUCUAGUCCGCGUUGGGUCCGUAGCCGUGUGUGUGUGUGUGUGUGUGUGUGACCACAUGUAUGUGCGUGUGUGUGUGGGUUAGUUGGCGAGAUGUGCGCGUGCAUGAUCGCGCUGGGCGCUGGACCCGGUCGCGUUUGUGUGCAUGUGUGCACAGCGGCCGCGUGAACCGUGGAGCACGGGCGUGGCAAGAGGGUGAGUGGGCUGGCGUCUGGUACGCGUCGUGGAGCGUUGUUGCGCGCACAUAUAAACCCUCACCCCUCCCGUGUGUUAUAGGUGUGGCUCGAGUUUGUUGCUUGAGGAGAAAAGCCGUUCAGUCAGCGGGCAUUCGGGCGCCGGAAAGAAGUCCACCGUGUGCCCUCCUUCCUUUCUUCUUCUUCUGUACGAGACAGGAGAGAGUCAGGUGACCAGAGAGGCAGCUGCAGUGAGCUAGGGCAAGAGUUUCUGCUCCAACAAUAUCAAUAUGCCAAAAAUAUUCAUUAGCAAUAAACAUAUGUGCACGAUUUAAUGAUGGGCUAUGUGCUGAAAUCUGAGAUGGGCUCUAGGCCCAUAUUGCAAUUUCUGAAAAAUCCCUAAGGGCCCAUGUGGGUUAUAUGGCACUAGGUGUGGUGGGAAGUUUAGUCCCACCCCGGAAGUGGAAGGAGAGUUGGAGUGGUUUAUAAGGGUUUCUCUUCUACAUGCUAUUGGAGCUUGAGAAGAGAAGAGGCCCUCGCGCACUCCUCCUCCGCCGCCCGGCGAGAGUUUUCUGACAGCUGGGCCACGAUCUGAGACGUCGGAUCGUGGGCUGUCACGGACUCGGACGUGGGUCGAGCCCACGUCAGCCGCCACGAACAGAUCACAUCUGCUCACACGCACGCCCACUGUCGUUCCUUUGCUGCUGCUGCCGCCGGUGACUCCAUCCCGUCCGCCACGUACACGGUCGACGGGAGAGCAGGUCUCCGAAACCACGCCCUUCUGGUUCCUGUACGGGGUGAGGGGCGAAUAGGUUUUUGGGCAGCGAUUACGCGACUACUCGCUUCCGAUCGUCUACUUCCUCUACGUCCGCGUCGCCUUCAUCAUCACCAUGUCCACCGACGCCGACCGUGCCGCCGCCGAGAAAGCUGAAGCCGACAAGAAGGUCGCCGAGGACGCCGCUGCUGCCACCAAUGCCGCAGCCUCUGCGUGGCCUACUGGAGGGUAUAACUCGUUUAUCCCGCUCCUGAUUAUUUUCAUAUUAGCAGUACUAGCAGUAUGUGUAGAUUUGUCUACUGUUUGCUUAGUACGUGCAUGUUUAGAUCAGAGUCAGUACAUCAUCAACUUAGUCAAUGCCAUGCUAGUGAUUUACUCAUGGAUUAAUUUAAUCGAGAAAUUGCCUAUUUACUCAACAAUCCAAAAACCUAUUAUGUGUAGGAAUUUCUCGGCAAGUGGCUUUGCCGCUGCACUGAAACCGGAUAAGUUUACUGGUACAUACUUCAAGCGUUGGCGGACUAAGACCACGUUAUGGCUCACGGCUAUGAACGUGUUCUGGGUCACCGGUGUCUCCACGAGAACGAUUGCUCCUGAACAGGAGAAGGCGUUCAAGGAGGCUACCGUUGUGUUUCUCGGAGCAGUUCUUAGCGUGAUCGGAGAUAAACUGGUCGACGCAUAUUUACAUGUGCAUGUCGCCAAGGACUUGUGGGAGGCGCUCGAAUCUAAAUUCGGGGCCGCCGAUGCAGGGAGCGAGAUGUAUAUUAUAGAGCAGUUCCACGAUUACAAGAUGGUUGAAAACUGUCCUGUAUUGGAGCAGGCUCAUGAGAUAAUAUGCAUUGUUAAGGAACUUGAGCUUCUCAAGUGCGAGUUACCGGGCAAGUUUGUCGCGGGCUGGAUAAUCGCUAAGCUCCCUAAUUCCUGGAGGAACUUUGCCACCACUCUGAAACAUCAGAGGCGUGAAUUCUCUGUGGAGGAUGUCAUUGGCCAUCUGAGUGUUGAGCAGAAUUCGAGGGCAAAAGACUCGCACGGAAAAGGGGCCGAAGGGACUUCUGUUGCCAACAUGGUGAACCAGAAGAACUUCAACUCCCACAAGCCCAAGGGAAAGAACGGUGUCCAACACAAUACCGACUUUAAGAAGAAGGGUAAGAAGACCUUCAAGAAGAACAAGAAGGACGAGGGCUGCUUUACUUGUGGUUCGGUUGAACAUUGGGCCAACAAGUGCCCAAACAAGUAUAAGAAGUCAGGACAGGACUCCAAGUCUGUCAACAUGAUUGUGGGCAACAAUGAGAAUGGUGCAUCUGGGUACGGUAAUUUAUUUACUGUUUUUUCAGUGUUUCAACCCAACGAUUGGUGGGUGGACACAGGUGCAGGUGUUCAUGUGUGUGCUGACAUUUCAUUGUUCACUUCUUACCAGGUCACAGGUCACGGGUCAGUAUUGAUGGGGAAUGGCGCGAGUGCUUCUGUUCAUGGUGUUGGCACGGUCGAUCUGAAGUUUACUUUGGGAAGGAUCGUGCAGCUGAAGAACGUGCAGCAUGUCCCCACCAUCAAGAAGAACCUCGCUAGUGGCUCCCUUCUAUGUAGAGAAGGGUUUAAGUUGGUUUUCGAGUCUAAUAAAUUAGUUGUUACAAAAUAUGGACUCUUUGUUGGAAAAGGUUAUGAGAGCGGAGGGAUGUUCCGCCUUUCCCUCGCAGAUUUUUGUAAUAAAGUCGUGAACCAUAUUCAUUCGAAUGUUAAUGAAUCUGAAGUUUGUCAUUCACGUCUUUGUCACAUUAGUUUUGGUGUUAUGACGCGGCUAGCCAAGUUGGAUUUAAUCCCGAGUUUCACUUUAGCCAAAGGUUCUAAGUGCCUUUCAUGUGUGCAAGCUAAGCAACCUCGCAAGCCUCAUAAGGCCGUGGAGGAGAGACACCUGGCACCAUUAGAACUCAUACAUUCUGAUCUUUGCGAGAUGAAUGGUGUGUUGACUAAAGGUGGAAAGAGAUACUUCAUGAUAUUGAUAGAUGAUUCCACUAGAUAUUGCUAUGUGUAUCUGUUAAAUACUAAAGAUGAGGCUCUACACUACUUUAAAAUCUAUAAGGCAGAAGUUGAAAAUCAACUUGAAAAGAAAAUUAAACGAGUCCGGUCAGAUCGUGGUGGAGAGUACUUCUCGAGUGAGUUUGAUUCCUUCUGUGCGGAACACGGCAUUAUUCAUGAGAGGACGCCUCCCUAUUCACCCCAAUCAAACGGGGUUGCCGAGCGGAAAAACUGUACUCUAACUGAUUUGGUUAAUGCCAUGUUAGAUACAUCGGGUUUAUCCAAGGCAUGGUGGGGGGAGGCUAUAUUGACGGCAUGUCAUGUCCUGAAUAAAGUUCCGACAAAGGAUAGUGAGAUCACUCCCUAUGAGAAAUGGGCAAAGAGAAGGACGACACUCUCGUACUUGCGCACUUGGGGCUGUUUGGCGAAAGUCAACGUGCCGAUCCCCAAAAAGCGUAAGCUUGGACAUAAGACCGUGGACUGCAUUAAUUUGGGCUACGCUAAGAACAGCGUUGGCUAUAGAUUUCUAGUAGUGAAAUCUGAGGUACCUGACCAGAAGAUCGGUACAAUUAUGGAGUCUAAGGAUGCUACAUUCUUUGAGGAUAUUUUUCCUAUGAGAGAUAUGCAAAGCACUUCUAGACAGGAAUCUGAGGAGACUCCUGAACCUGCCAUCCCUAUGGAAUAUUAUGAACAAACACAUGAUGAAAAUCCCGAGGAGGAUGACGAGGAAACCCUUGGUAGGGGCAAGAGACAAAGGACUGCAAAGACCUUUGGUGAUGAUUUCUUCGUGUGCCUCGUGGAUGAUACUCCCACUUCUAUUUCAGAAGCGUAUGCCUCUCCAGAAGCUAACUACUGGAAGGAUGCGGUCCAUAGCGAGAUGGAUUCCAUCAUGGCUAACGGGACAUGGGAGAUCACUGACCGUCCCUAUGUUGCAAACCACUGGGAUGUAAGUGGGUGUUCAAAAAGAAGCUUAGGCCCGAUGGUACGAUUGAAAAGUACAAGGCUAGGCUUGUGGCCAAGGGCUAUGACCAGCAAGAAGAGGAAGAUUUCUUUGAUACUUAUUCACCUGUGGCUAGACUGACCACCAUUCGAGUAUUACUCUCGUUGGCGGCCUCACAUGGUCUUCUCGUCCAUCAGAUGGAUGUUAAGACGGCUUUUCUAAAUGGAGAGCUAAAGGAGGAAAUCUACAUGCAACAUCCUGAUGGCUUUGUGAUAGAUGGUCAGGAAAGAAAGGUGUGUAGGUUGAUAAAAUCUUUAUAUGGCCUGAAACAAGCACCUAAGCAAUGGCAUGAUAAGUUUAAUACAACUCUGACAUCUGUUGGUUUCGUUGUUAAUGAGGCUGACAAAUGUGUAUACUAUCGCCAUGGUGGGGGCGAAGGAGUUAUACUGUGCUUGUAUGUUGAUGACAUACUGAUAUUCGGAACAAACCUCAAAGUCAUUGAGGAGGUCAAAUCGUUUCUAUCUCAGAACUUUGAGAUGAAAGACCUUGGUGUGGCUGAUGUUAUCUUGAACAUCAAGCUACUGAGAGAUAAUGAGGGUGGGAUCACACUUCUGCAAUCCCAUUACGUUGAGAAGGUGUUGAGUCGUUUUGGAUAUUCGGACUGCACACCAUCUGAAACACCAUAUGAUCCUAGCGUAUUGAUUCGAAAGUCCAAAGGCAUGGCUAAAGAUCAAUUGAGAUACUCUCAAAUCAUUGGUUCACUGAUGUACCUAGCGAGCGCAACGAGGCCUGACAUCGCGUUUGCUAUGAGCAAACUGAGCCGGUUUGUUUCCAAACCGGGUGAUGUACAUUGGCAUGAUGUUGAGAGAGUUAUGCGCUAUCUGAAAGGUACUAUGAACUAUGGACUUCACUAUACCGGAUACCCGUCGGUACUUGAAGGGUAUAGUGAUGCGAAUUGGAUCUCUGAUGCUGAUGAGAUGAAGGCCACAACUGGGUAUAUGUUUACUCUUGGAGGUGGCGCUGUUUCCUGAAAGUCUUGCAAGCAAACGAUCUUAACGAGAUCGACAAUGGAAGCAGAAUUAACGGCAUUAGACACAUCUGGUGUUGAAGCGAGAUGGCUUCGAGAUCUUUUGAUGGACUUGCCAUUGGUUGAUAAACCGGUUCCGGCUAUCCUUAUGAACUGUGACAAUCAGACUGUCAUCACCAAGGUGAAGAGUUCAAAGGACAACAUGAAGUCCACCAAACACAUAAGAAUGAGAUUAAAAGCUGUCAGAAAAUUAAGAAACUCCGGAGUGAUAGCGUUGGACUAUGUCCAUACGGCUAAGAAUCUAGCAGAUCCCUUUACAAAAGGGCUAUCACGUGUUGUGAUAGAUAAUGCAUCGAGGGAGAUGGGUAUGAGACCCACAUGAGUUGCCAUGGUGGUAACCCAACCUAUAUGAUCGGAGAUCCCGUGAACUAGGACCUGGGAAAACAAGCCAGUGGUGAACUGAGGAGAGUAACUAUACUAACCCACUCCGUUGGAGAUGCAAUACUCUCGAUACUGUAUGGUAGGAUGACUACGGUCUCAAUGUGUUCCAAAGCUUAUAAAAGCAAGAUGCUAUCCUACAGAGCGAUCUUUGGAGGAACACACCUAUAUGAGCCCGACUGCUGGUCACAGUCUAUGAGAUUGGGGUGAUCUCUAGUAAGCUCAUGAAUAGGCCAGGAGUGUGACUUAUAUGCUCCACCCGAGGGGUCAGCCUUCGGCAGCCUAGUACUAGUAAGACAUGUAGUGAAACUUCUUUACGCCAAACUGACAAUUCAAGGCAUAGUCCAUUGUUCAGUUGUGAAGGAGUGUAGCCACUUGUUCUAGGUGAAGUUCAACCUUAACAGGUCUUUACUGAAACACUGGUAUAUCGAAACAACAAUUGGAACAGAGGACACAAUGGGCCCUCGAGAUCUGGUGGGGGAUUGCUGAAAUCUGAGAUGGGCUCUAGGCCCAUAUUGCAAUUUCUGAAAAAUCCCUAAGGGCCCAUGUGGGUUAUAUGGCACUAGGUGUGGUGGGAAGUUUAGUCCCACCCCGGAAGUGGAAGGAGAGUUGGAGUGGUUUAUAAGGGUUUCUCUUCUACAUGCUAUUGGAGCUUGAGAAGAGAAGAGGCCCUCGCGCACUCCUCCUCCGCCGCCCGCCUCGCCACGCCUCGUCACGACGCGCCGCGCCGCGGGUUGCGGGAUUGAGCCGAACCGAGCUCACACCUACGCGCUUAUUUUUGCCAGUCACUAACGGAGAGUUUUCUGACAGCUGGGCCACGAUCUGAGACGUCGGAUCGUGGGCUGUCAUGGACUCGGACGUGGGUCGAGCCCACGUCUCUCCACGCGGCUGCGCCUAUAAGUAUGCGGUGUCUCCUAACCCUAGCCGCCACAAAUAGAUCACAUCUGCUCACGCGCACGCCCACCGUCGUUCCUUUGCCGCUGCUGCCGCCGGUGACUCCAUCCCGUCCGCCACGUACACGGUCGACGGGAGAGCAGGUCUCCGAAACCACGCCCUUCUGGUUCCUAUACGGGGUGAGGGGCGAAUAGGUUUUUGGGCAGCGAUUACGCGACUGCUCGCUUCCGAUCGUCUACUUCCUCUAUGUCUGCGUCGCCUUCAUCAUCACCAUGUCCACCGACGCCGACCGUGCCGCCGCCGAGAAAGCUGAAGCCGACAAGAAGGUCGCCGAGGACGCCGCUGCUGCCACCAAAGCCGCGGCCUCUGCGUGGCCUACUGGAGGGUAUAACUCGUUUAUCCCGCUCCUGAUUAUUUUCAUAUUAGCAGUACUAGCAGUAUGUGUAGAUUUGUCUACUGUUUGCUAAGUACGUGCAUGUUUAGAUCAGAGUCAGUACGUCAUCAACUUAGUCAAUGCCAUGCUAAUGAUUUACUCAUGGAUUAAUUUAAUCGAGAAAUUGCCUAUUUACUCAACACUAUGCAAUUGGAAAAGUGACGCUUUCCUGCCUUCCUUGCGUCAGUGACCAGUGGGGCUUUGGCUAAGGGCCGAACGAGUGGUCAAAGUCAUCUGCUUGCCUCCUGGGUGCCGCCGUGACUAGCUGGCCCGGCAUCCAUCCAUCAAUCCACCAAAAUGUAGCUGCAUCCAUGCACACGUACGCCAUCUUCAACUUUAAGCUCUUCAUUGAUGACGGCCAGCCAGUAGAGCACUCCCUGCCAAACGGCUCCGUGACCUGCCUGCACACCUCUCAUCUCCUCUCCUCGUCCACUCCGCCGGCAGCUUCGAAUUCCAUCUCAGUGUUUGCUCUGUCCUCGCUUCGCCAUGUCGGCCGCCGAGCUAAGGUGCCAGCUUAACGCGCGCAUCAGCUACAUGNNNNNNNNNNNNNNNNNNNNNNNNNNNNNNNNNNNNNNNNNNNNNNNNNNNNNNNNNNNNNNNNNNNNNNNNNNNNNNNNNNNNNNNNNNNNNNNNNNNNNNNNNNNNNNNNNNNNNNNNNNNNNNNNNNNNNNNNNNNNNNNNNNNNNNNNNNNNNNNNNNNNNNNNNNNNNNNNNNNNNNNNNNNNNNNNNNNNNNNNNNNNNNNNNNNNNNNNNNNNNNNNNNNNNNNNNNNNNNNNNNNNNNNNNNNNNNNNNNNNNNNNNNNNNNNNNNNNNNNNNNNNNNNNNNNNNNNNNNNNNNNNNNNNNNNNNNNNNNNNNNNNNNNNNNNNNNNNNNNNNNNNNNNNNNNNNNNNNNNNNNNNNNNNNNNNNNNNNNNNNNNNNNNNNNNNNNNNNNNNNNNNNNNNNNNNNNNNNNNNNNNNNNNNNNNNNNNNNNNNNNNNNNNNNNNNNNNNNNNNNNNNNNNNNNNNNNNNNNNNNNNNNNNNNNNNNNNNNNNNNNNNNNNNNNNNNNNNNNNNNNNNNNNNNNNNNNNNNNNNNNNNNNNNNNNNUUCGUCCCGAGGUCAUCAACAUGUUCCUCCACGAGGCCGACAUGAUGCUCAAUGACAUCACCAGCCUUCUGUCCGUGCCGUACCACCGCACCAAGCCCUCUGCUUUCCUUAGCCCCAUCGUCCUGGGUAUUGAUUUCGUAUCCUCUGCUUAAUUUGUGAUUCCCUCCUAGGAACCUGCCCAUCGUCGACUUCGAAAUGGUGGGCAAACUAGUGCACCAGCUCAAGGCGUGCAGCGGCAGGUGAUUAUAUGUUUCCCACACUGCAUCGAUGUCGAUCGUGCCAUUGAAAUGUAUUUGUCAUGGGCAUACCCCGGUUGUUGUUGUUUGCGCUAUCCUGUAACCCUAAUUACAAGUGUGGAGCUUAAUUGUAUUUCAUGCCUAACGGAAGUACCGGCAUUCAUCCAACCACAAUGUUGUUAUGGCUUGGCCAGAAAUUAGAACUUUGUUGUCUUGCGAGCCUUCCUGGAAUUAGCGGUAUGCUAUUCAGCAUAACACCGAUGGUGAUUUCCCGGUCUGUCCAUGUUUCUAUUAGGAUGUGUCGGUGCAGUGUCGUCUGCGGUUGUCGUAUAUACAUAAGUAGAAAAGUUGAGUUUAGUAGUCUUUUAUAUAAUAGAAUUGUCUGCAUUAAUUCCUCUCAAUGGCAACACUAAAACGCGUCAAGGAAAACUUUGUCAUCUUGCAAAAAUUCAAGUACUAUUGAAUGUGAUAUUCAGCAAUNNNNNNNNNNNNNNNNNNNNNNNNNNNNNNNNNNNNNNNNNNNNNNNNNNNNNNNNNNNNNNNNNNNNNNNNNNNNNNNNNNNNNNNNNNNNNNNNNNNNNNNNNNNNNNNNNNNNNNNNNNNNNNNNNNNNNNNNNNNNNNNNNNNNNNNNNNNNNNNNNNNNNNNNNNNNNNNNNNNNNNNNNNNNNNNNNNNNNNNNNNNNNNNNNNNNNNNNNNNNNNNNNNNNNNNNNNNNNNNNNNNNNNNNNNCAAUGGUGGGUAUUCUCGUUUCUCCACGUUUCUAUUCGGAUGUGUCAGUGAUGUGUCAUUUGCGGUUGUCAUAUACAAAUAAAUAGAAGAGCUAAGUUUAGUUGUGUUUCGUAUUUCAUAUAAUGGAAUACUCAGCAUUCCUACCAAUGGCAAUUCUAAAACUCUAGGAAAACUUUGCCGUCUUGUGGAAAUUUCUCGUACUAUUGAAUGUGAUAAUCGACAAUGGCAUUAUUUUAGGUCAGCGAUAAAAUUUCCGUUCUGAAAAUAUUUAUAGUAUUAAUGAUCUCCUCAUGUAACGCAAAUGGCUAUUUUCCAGUUUCUCCGCUACAUACAUUGAUGAUGUCUCUAUGUGGAUGUGUCGGCGUGGGUGUGUAUACGUUGUGGGCGUGCGCCUCGUGCGGUUGGUGUUGUCAUUUAGCCAUAAUUCAAAAGAUGAAUUUAGUUAUGUUUUGUGCACUGGAAAUGCUGAUGUAUAUUAAUGUCGUUUGGUUAGGGAAACUCUAACGUUUUAUAAAUAUCUCUAGCACUACUAACUACUAUAGCACAUAAUACCAACGCUAUUUUCUGUUUAGGGUUAUGAAACACUUUAUUGUGUUGAUUACCUUGACGAAUAGCUCCUCGAGAAUAUUAUUAUGACACCGCAAUUAUGCUUAUGUUCAACAUUCCAUAGUGUUUGUUAAGUUUGGGAAAUUUCUAGUUUCUUGAUCGUGCUCUUUUUGGCAUGUAUCAGCGUUGGUGCUAGGAAAGUUAACCUUGCCUGCGUGCACUUCCAGCAGUUCUAUGUGGGAAAAAGCAAAGAAAGGUCAGUUCUUGUUACCUUAUUAUAUAUGUACCACAGUAAUUACUCUCUACUCUCUAUGCUUAUCAAAUCCCCUGUGUGAAACCUGCCAACUUAUUUUGUCUUUAAUGACACUAUUUUUGGCUCAUAUAAAUCUAAUAUUCAUAAGCACUAACCUGCUUAUUCACUUCAUCGCCAAUCAGCUGAUUGAUAUAACUCACUUCUUUAUCUAUAUGAUAAUUCUCUUGUAACUUGUUAAUUCUAGACAUUUGUUUAUACCACAAUUAAGUUUUGAGAUGGCUAGAGUUCUUUCUCAAACACUAGGUUACAAUUUCCGAAGCAUUCAGAUUCAGUUUGCUUAACCACUUGAGAAUGUGACAGUGUGGUGUGUUUGCAUUAUUUCAGGUGCCUCAUGGCAUUGAAUGUUCUUAGGAAUGAGUUCUACGAUGUGCACGACAGGCUACAGACCAUUAUGCAGGUAGCAUCUUAUUUUCCAAUGUUGGCUUUUGACUUCCAACUUCUCGCAAGUAUCAACAAUAUGUAGACUGGUCACAUAUUGUUUAAGAUAAAAAAAAGUAAUUACGUUGAUCUUAUUCUUGUUACUAUUGAAAUUUGUAUAGCAAUACAUUGUUUGGUUUCUGGAGCACUUUGUACGAGGUCUUUGAAAGUCCCAUUUGUCGUUGAAUGUUUCUGUCUUAAUAUUGUCACGAUGGUUCGUUAGAUGCUUAGGCUAACUCCAAAAAACCAGUUGUGUUUCCCAGCUUAACUUAACCUUUGCCAAGUACUGGAAAAAUAUACCGACAUAAAUUAAGCACCACUGUACUUUGUAGACCUGUCAUAAUCUAUCAUUAAUCUACUCUUGUUUUGAUGUAGUUGGAGCAGCAGAUUGCAACCUUGGGUCCUAAUUAAGUAGCAGUAAUCGAAGUUAAAAAAGCAUAGCCCCAUGUGCUCUGGAAUGAUGGCGUGUAUGUAUCCUUGAAGAUGUAGGCAGUUCAACGGUUGCUGGGCUUUGGACGGGGCGCGUGGAAUCACAUGGAAAUUCUUGCUUCGGCACUCCGGGCUCGCAAGCACCCUGCAAAUGGAAUUUUUCUCUUUUAUGUUAGUGCCUUUGUCUGUUAACUAUAUAUACUUGUGUGUCAUAGAUGGUCUGCGGCUGUGUGUAAACUCUAUACUUGGUUGGGUACUUUUUGGCUUGGUCUUAUUGUAUGUUGCUCGCUGUUUUUAAUACCGUCUUGUGAAAUGUUAUUUCCUCCAGCUAAAAUAUUAUUGUUGGCUGGUGUACCGAGAGGAAUUCCUUGCUGGCCUCCGCCACCACCAUCAGAAUCUCAUACCAUCGCCGCAACACCAAACUGACCAUUUUGCAGACGGAGGAGAAAAGGAGAUAUGAUGGGUAGGGCCACCGGAAGGUGCUGCGGGACAACAUUUCAUGGGUCAUGAGGCUUGCAGUCCACCAGCGAGGCAGAUAUUUAAUGGACAUGAAUCACAUUUGAACUAUAUGUGCAAUGAAGUACUCCCUCCAAUCCAAAAAAAAGUGUCGCAACUUUGAAUUGAGGUUAGUUCAACCUUAGUUCAAAGUUGCGACAAUUAUUUUGGAUCGGAGGGAGUAUAAGUCCUUGAGCGUAUAUAUAGGUCAUAUGCAAGAAAUUCUUGGAAAAUUUUACAGGUUAAUUUAAUAUGCGGUGUUUGCCUCGAGGUCGCCUUUAGUUUCUAUUAAAUCCAUUUCAAAUUUAAUCACAUACUCUAUAUCUCCACUACUAUUAAAAGAGCAAACAAGAAUUGCACUAAAGACACACCACAAACUGUACACGAAUUACCAGAGACGUUCGAUCAGUGUAACUAACUCACAUCUAACAAUCAAUAUUACAUCAAAAGUCUACCACCCAAAUAAACAAACCAGAUUGAAUGUUCUGUCAAAGCAGACUGCCCCGCCCCACGCACUCAUUCAUCCUCAGAUAGUGGGAUUAUCAUUACCCCAACCCGUAAUUUUAUCUCUGCCACAAAACUUUGCCGCUCCUCCUCUGCUGGCCCAAUCCCGUAAUUUUAUCACAGAUUUGUGAGCAGGAACGCUGCCGCCGCCCGGCGCUCCUCCUCUACUUCCCCAUGGGCGCAAGAAAACGGAGCCAACAGCCCCUUUUAUUUCUUACAACUCGGCCAAUCCAUUGUUAGAAUCCUCAUACACCACUAUUGUUUUGAAUUCAUUCGACGGAAAGGAUAAUGCGAUAUUAGAAGUUUAGAACUCAUAUUUGGGAAAAGGCGACAGAGUGUGAGAGGAUGUGUAUCUCGGACUUAGCAUGCUUUCCUGAUUAACUAAAUCAUGAUUUUUAGCUUUUUGCCCACUACCGAAACAAUAACCUAUUUUCCUACACUUCCCGUAGUUACUGAUUUAAGUGUAAUUAUUUUAAGUUAUUAUCUAGGUGGGUGAACCAUGUACCAUAUACAAUAUUUUUCAGCUAGGUUGGUCGUUGGCAUUUCUGUCCUAGCUGCGAGCUUAUUGAUUCAUCUGAUUAACAGAUGUUGAUUGGUUUUUUUGUCAGAUAAGGCAGAGUUCCAGAUUGCAACAUAAGUAGAAUGUGGACUACUAGGAGCAGUCAGUGGGCUUGUACUGUGUUUCUAUUGAUUUUUUGUGUCCCCUUGUUUGAUUGAACAGGAAUGCAGUUCUUAUUUUCGACGAGGAUAUUAGUAUGGUGGAUGAUUGCUACGAUUAUCUUUUGUAGAAUUGAUGCUGCUUGAAAGGCACACCAACAUAUUGAUGUAGUUUAUCUACCUUCUCUGUCCUUCUUAAGGUUAGUGAAUGGUUUCAUAAUAUGAUGCUAUUUGUGAUUAAACCGCAGAGGCCUUCAUUUUUUCCACAUGAUUUUUAAAAUCUACUAGCUAGAGUCAUGUUUGGACAUAUUUUUCUUUUCCUCGGGCAAAAUGAAAAUUAGUCAUGUGCUGAUUCUAUAGUGUAUGGUUCUGUUCACCAUCACCAUCAUCAAGCUAUUUUAUCACAAGGGCAAAACUAACAUAAAUUAUUUAUUUUUCAGGUACCAAUGAUUAAAUGGUUUCUGCAGGUCUCGAGCAUGGUUUCUUUCUGAUUGCGAGGAUGAAUUUUACAAAGAGGAUGUUUGAGAAUGUAAUCACAUCACUAUACAUGUUUUCUAAGCAUCUAAGAGCACUUUGUGUUCAGUUUCAUGCUAUAAGUUUAUAGCUCAAAUGUAGAGAUGCAUAGCUUGACUCUAUAAGUAAGGGUGGCCUCAUUUGAUAUACUUGGGUUGUGAACAGGUGAUUGUGUGGCUGAAGAAUGAUGUGAAUGAUUGGAAGUGCUCCAACCAGUAAGCAUUCAGGUGAUGCCUGCAGUAGACAUAGUGUUUUUUAGGAUGAGAGUAUUCAUGUGGAAAUUUUCGGUGAGCAGACAAAGACCGAGCAAAAUAUGGGUUGAAUUUGUUGUGCUAAAGAUACCGGCAGAAUUCAUUGUUGAGUUCUGAAUUCAUCAAGUUUGUGUUAGCUGUGCUGGAAGGUCAGGGUGCAGAAUUUGUGAAGUGUUAUAUACACGAACCAGUACAUUCUUCUUUCCGAAGGAGCUGUUUGCUUUCCUGGUGAUAAGGCACUUUGGAAUAGCUGGGUGCCAUGGAACUGCAAGAUUUUCACUUGCUUGGCUUUGCGGCAUCGAGUAUGGACAUCUGAUCGUCAAGUUAGAAGAGGGUUACAGGACCAUAUUUUGCCCUUUUUCUCUGAGCAGGAUGAGGACAUUGUCGAUCGCAUCACACUUAAGUGUGUAUAUGCUCGACAGGUAUGGCAUCACUAUCUUCGAUCGACUCAUCUUGAUGUUGUCCCUGCUCCUUCCGUCACUGAUAAUCUUCAGGAUUGGUGGGGAGGUAUCUCCAGUUCAUUCCCAAAGUAACGAUGUGGUUUUGGUUAUCUUGUGAUGCAUGUGUGCUAGAGCCUAUGGAAGCAACGCAGUGCUAGGGCAUUCAAUAAUGCUCACCUCUGUGUUCUCAUUCUUUCUGACCUAUUGCGGGAGGGAAGAGGAUGGCUGGAUUAUCUGAGUAGUCCAUUGUAAUAUGUGUUGGUGGUGGAGCGUGGAUGCCGUCCCCCUUUGGGGUGCUCUUGUAACUUGUGUUCUCUCCUAUAAAAUUAUGGUUCAAAUUUGCGUACUCUUCAAAAAGAAAUAUACACAAACCAAAGAGAAAUUAUAUCACUGUCCUGAUACAAUUUAUUGCUGGUAGGUGGAAUGAACCUCUUGAAUCAUUCUUGCAUAUAGGUAAUUCACUAUAUUUUAUUAAAUUUACUUGAUACACCAUUACAUAAUUUAUGUUCAAUUUUCUUGAAGAAAUUUCCAAAAACAUCUAGUUCAAGAAUAUUUUUGGAGGAACUGCGGUAUGAAUAAUGUUUUUUUUUAUUUUUUGUACUCUUCAAGUGUUAUUCAGGUGUCUCACGGCAUUGAAUCUUCUUAGGAACGAGUUCUAUGAUGUGCGCGGCAGGCUACAGGCCAUUAUGCAGGUAGCAUCUUAUGCAUCUAUGUUGGCAUUUGACUUCCAACUUCUCACAAGUAUCGUAAAUACGUAGACUGGUCAUAUAUUGCUUAAGAUAAAAAACAAUAAUAACCUUGAUCUUAUUCUUGUUACUGUUGAAAUUUUUCUAGCAAUAUGUUUUUUGGUUUCUGGAGCACAUAGUUCGAGGUUUUCGAAAGUCCCAUUGAUGUUUCUGCCUUAAUUUUGUCACAAUGUUUCGUUAGAUGUAUACAGUAGCUAAAAAAAAGCAGUUGUAUCUCCUUGUUUCCCAGCUCAACUUAACGUUUGCCAUGUACCCACUUAAGCAGCACUGUACUUGGUAGACCUGUCAUAAUAAUCUAUUGUUCUUUUGAUGUAGCUGGAGCAGCAGAUUGCAGCCUUGGGUCCUAAGUAGCAGUAAUUGAAGCCAAAAGAGCAUAGUCCCGUGUGAUCUGGCAUGAUGCGGGAGAUGUAUCUCUCAAGAUGUAGUCAACAUUCAGCAGUUGCUGGGAUUUUGGAGGGGGCGCGUGGAAUCACAUGAUGAUUCUUGCUUUGGCACUCCGGGCUCGCGACCACCCUGCAAAUGGAACUUGUUGUCUUGUGUGUCGAUGUCUUUGUCUAUCAACACUAUAUACUUGUGUGUCGUGGAUGACCUGUUGGCUGUGCGUAAACUCUAUAUUUGAUUGGUUGCUUUUUGGCUUGGUUUUCUUGUAUGUUGUUUGUUGUUUUUAUUUACCGUCUUGUGAAAUGUUGUUUCCUCCCCUUUGGGUGAGGGGAGAGAUUUGUUGGUUCUUGAACCAUGCUAAAAUCUAGUUGUUGGCUGGUAUACCGAGAGGUGUUGCUUCCUGGCCGCCGCCACCACCAUCAGAAUAUCGCAGCAUCGCCGCAACAGCGAAUUGAUCGUUUGUCCGCCAGAGAAGAACAACAGAGAUAACCAAGGGGUUGCCACCCAGCCAGACAAGAUGAUGCAUUCUAAUACGUAGUUAUCUUUUCUAUAGAUUUUGUUAUCUGUGACGCUGGUUAAAGAGCCCACACAAAGUCGAAGCCCACGCAAGGUUGAGUGUCGACGUUGCUGGGUUGGGCCUUCGCCUGACAGGUUCCUCCCGUUGUUUCGCUGGGCCUGUGCAUGGAUGCAAAUUCUAAUUAUACCAAGAAACAGAUGCAUGGAUAUUUCAUGUUGUACGGGGAAAAAGACGGCCUUGCAUCAAGCGAGGCAUGGCUAGCCGGCGAUGUCCAGAUGACCGUCCGUGGUCUGGGCGUCUAAUAGGCACGGAUGACCUUACAUGGAACUUCCAACUACGCCCCCACAAAAAGAGACUCCCAACUACCCUAUGCACCGAUGACCUUACGUGGAAUUCCCAACUACACUAUGGCUCCUUUGUGAUUGUGCGGCUGAUAUGUAUUUCUUCUAGACCUCGGCGUGCGCCUCCCUGCCGUCGGUAGCACUGUUGGGUGUUUAGGUGAAUGGGACAAUCAGUUUUGCAUACAUAGGUGGAACAACUAGCGUUUCUUCGUAGUGUACUCGCUAUGAACCAUUGUGAUUGCACAUAACCCUAAUUUUCUUUCCCGUUGCAACCCACGGACAUAUGUGCUCGUCCUGUACGUACUAAUGAAACCGGGAGUCUGCUGAAGACUAAGAAAUAAUCGCCGGAGCCAGGAGUCAAAGACACGAUUUAUACAAGAGAUAACCCAGGGGUUGCCACCCAGCCAGACAAGAUGAUGCGUUCUAAAGUGAAGUUAUUUUUUCUAUAGAUUUUGUUAUCUGUGGCGCGGGUUAAAGAGACAACCGAGGGGUUGGUACCCAGCCAGACAAGAUGAUGCGUUCUAAAGUGAAGUUAUUUUUUCUAUAGAUUUUGUUAUCUGUGUCGAAGCCCACACAAGAUUGAGUUUCCACGUUGUUGGGCUGGGCCUUCGCCUGGCGGGUUCCUCCCGUUGUUUCUUUGGGCCUGUGCAUGGAUGAAAAUUCUAAUUAUACCAAGAAACAGAUGCACAGAUAUUUCAUGUUGUCCGGGGCAAAAGACGGCCUUGCGUUGAGCGAGGCUUAUCUAAAAAAAGAAAAAACAAGCGAGGCAUGGCUAGCCGGCGAUGUCCAGAUGAUUGCCCAUGGUCUGAGUAUCUAGUAGGCACCGAUGACCUUACGUGGAAUUCCCAACUACGCCCCCGCAAAAAAAAACCCCAAUGCUAUGCACCGAUGACCUUACGUGGAACUCCCAACUACGCUAUGGCUCCUUCUGUGAUUGUGCGGCUGAUAUGUAUUUCUUCUAGACCUCGGCGUGUGCCUCCCUACCGUCGGUAGCACUGUUGGAUGUUUAGGUGAAUGAGACAAUCAGCGUUUCUUUGCAUAUAUAGGUGGGACAACUAGCGUUUCUUCAUAGUGUAUUCGCUAUGAACCAUUGUGAUUGCACAUAACCCUAAUUUUCUUUUCGGUCGCAACGCACGGGCAUAAGUGCUAGUGUGCAUGCUUGUGCGUGUGUGUCCGAAUUCCAAAUUAUUCUUGAUACAACAAGGCUUGUCCAGUAUAUCCUCACUUGCCUGUUUAUUUCGCGGGCUCCAUUCUUUUUUCUGCCCCACCCCUUUCUUUCCUUAGCUGACAAAUGCGACCAGCUUCGCUCCACGAACACUAUCUCUGUUAGCUUAAUCCAAACAAGUUUAAAGUUUAGAUUGCAAGGUGGUUUAGUCAUAUCUUUGCAUGUGAUGAUGUUAAGCAAAGAGUCCGGCUAGGAGUAGUAAAUAGCCGUGUAUCCAAGUAGUACACUGGUAGAAAAGGGGGCAAUGGUCCAGGCUGGGUCAGCCCAUUAGUCCCGGCUCAAUCCAGAACUGGGACCAAUGGGCGCAUUGGACCCGGUUCGUGAGCCCUGGGUGCCGGCCGGGCCACGUGAGCCAUUGGUCCCGGUUCUUCUGGACCUUUUGGUCACGGUUGGUGGGACGAACCGGGACCAAUGGGCCUUGGUCCUGGCCCACCACCAUUGGCCCCGGUUGGUGGGACGAACCGGGACCAAAGGCAGCCCAUUAGUCCCGGUUGGUGGCACAAACCGGGACUAAAGGGGUGGUCCUCGUUGCGGCCAGAGUUUAGUCCCACCUCGCCAACCGAAGGGGGCUCACACCGGUUUAUAAGCCCCUCCCUCUCUGCCUUGUUGAACUGUUCUCAAAGUGAAAAUAGAUGCCCUUAUACAGGAAAUUUGACCUAAAUUCAUAUUGAAUUUCUCUGAAGUUAGUAGAAAUUUAUUAUGAAUUUAGGUCUAAUUUUCUCUAUAAGCGCAUCUAUGCUCAUUUCUGAGUAGUUUUUUAUAUAGUUUUUUUUCUGCUAUAUUUAUUUUUUUCUAUUUAUUUCUGAGUUGUAAUAAGUUAUUAAAAAUAAAAAAGAUUUUAGUAAAGUUAAUCACAACUAUUUUUUCUUCUAAUUAUUUCUGAGUAGUUUUUUAUAUAGUUUUUUUUCUUUUCUGCUAUAUUUAUUUUUUUCUAUUUUUUUCUAUGUGGUAAUAAGUCAUUAAAAAUAAAAAAGAGGCACAAUGCUAGUUAAUUCUCUUCAAGCCUUUCGGAAUAGUGUAAACUGCACUGCACAUAGCUCCGUGCAGUCUACCCUAUUCCUCAAGGAUUGAAGCGAACCAACGUGCAGGUGAGCAUUGAGCCUCUUCUUCAUCGUCUCUGCACUCAGGACUUAUAAACAGCUGCUAGUGCCUCUCGCUUGGCGAGGUGGGACUAAAAAGGGGGCAAUGGUCCAGGCCGGCCGGGUCAGCCCAUUAGUCCCGGUUCAAUCCAGAACCGGGACCAAUGGGGGCAUUGGACCCGGUUCGUGAGCCCCGUGGGCCGGCCGGGCCACGUGGGCCAUUGGUCCCGGUUCGUCUGGACCUUUUGGUCUCGGUUGGUGGGACGAACCGGGACCAAUGGGCCUUGGUCCUGGCCGACCACCAUUGGCCCCGGUUGGUGGGACGAACCGGGACCAAAGGCAGCCCAUUAUGGUUUGCCCCUCGUGAUACCCUGCCAACUUUCAACUUUCAACUUUUUCAGAGUUCAUUUGAAAUGCUUUAAUGCAGAAAACGAAAGAAAAUAAAUAAUGCAGAAAACAAAAGAAAAAAACUGGGAAAAAAAUAAAAUAAAUAAAGCAAAAAUAAAACAAAAAAAGUGUAUUCAAAUUUGAAAACUAAUGGCACUAACAGAAAGUUUAUAAUUUUUCUAAAACUAAAAGCAAAAAGAAUUAAAAAGUAAAGCAAAAAAAAAUGCAGAAAACAAAACAAAAAAUCUGGGGAAAAAAUAGCAACAAUAAGUAUUUUCUUGUAAGUAGAAACAAAAUAAAAUAAAUAAAGCAUGAAACAAAACAAAAAACCAAAAAAAAUGUUUUCAAAUUUGAGAACUAAUGGCACUAACAGAAAGUUUAAAAUUGUUCUAAAACUAAAAGCAAAAAGAAUUAAAAAAUAAAGCAAAAAACAAAAGAAAAUAAAUAACGCAGAAAACAAAACAAAAAAUCUGGGAAAAAAAUAAAAAUAGCAACAAUAAGUAAAGGGAAAAAAAGUGCCUCCUACUGGGCACCCACGGCCUGAAUACGACUAGAAACCCACCAUGGGCCAGGAUUCAGGCCCGCAGGAGGCCCAGUAGGCCCAUCAGGCAACGCGGUAGUAAGUAGGCCCGUAAGCCUGCAGUGGAGAGGAGCUCGAGAGGGGUGCGGCAGUGGGGCUUAUAAACCACUGCGCGCCCCUCUCAGCUAGCAAGGUGGGACUAAAAUUUCGUGCCGAACCGUGCCAGCACACGACCAUUGGUCCCGGUUCGUGGCUCCAACCGGGACCAAUGCCCACCCUUUAGUCCCGGUUGGUGGCACCAACCGGGACCAAAGCCCUAUGCUUCCCGCCCUUUCGGCUGCUGAAAAGAGGCCUUUGGUCCCGGUUGGUGGUACCAACCGGGACUAAAGGGGGUCAUUGGUCCCGGCUGGUUGCUAUAUAAGGAAAAUUUCAGAACCGCAUCCCAACUUCGAUCUCUCCUCCUCCUCUCGAUCUCNNNNNNNNNNNNNNNNNNNNNNNNNNNNNNNNNNNNNNNNNNNNNNNNNNNNNNNNNNNNNNNNNNNNNNNNNNNNNNNNNNNNNNNNNNNNNNNNNNNNNNNNNNNNNNNNNNNNNNNNNNNNNNNNNNNNNNNNNNNNNNNNNNNNNNNNNNNNNNNNNNNNNNNNNNNNNNNNNNNNNNNNNNNNNNNNNNNNNNNNNNNNNNNNNNNNNNNNNNNNNNNNNNNNNNNNNNNNNNNNNNNNNNNNNNNNNNNNNNNNNNNNNNNNNNNNNNNNNNNNNNNNNNNNNNNNNNNNNNNNNNNNNNNNNNNNNNNNNNNNNNNNNNNNNNNNNNNNNNNNNNNNNNNNNNNNNNNNNNNNNNNNNNNNNNNNNNNNNNNNNNNNNNNNNNNNNNNNNNNNNNNNNNNNNNNNNNNNNNNNNNNNNNNNNNNNNNNNNNNNNNNNNNNNNNNNNNNNNNNNNNNNNNNNNNNNNNNNNNNNNNNNNNNNNNNNNNNNNNNNNNNNNNNNNNNNNNNNNNNNNNNNNNNNNNNNNNNNNNNNNNNNNNNNNNNNNNNNNNNNNNNNNNNNNNNNNNNNNNNNNNNNNNNNNNNNNNNNNNNNNNNNNNNNNNNNNNNNNNNNNAAUUUGUUCAUAUUGUGUUAGAUUUUUUUGGUGUAAUUAAUGUGUUCAUAUUGUGUUAGAUUUUUUUCUGUUAAUAGAUUUUUUUGGUAUUAAUUUGUUCAUAGUAUGUUUGGUGAUAUUAUUGUUAAUAGACUUUUUUGGUGAUAUUUAGAUUGUGUUAGUAAUUAAGUACUAUAAUUGAACUAGCUAGUUAGAAAAAUAUAAUUACUACUUUAUUUAUUUAUAGUAAGUGCUUAGUAGUUGAACUAGAUAGUUGAUUUAAUUAAUAAAACUACUUUAUUUUAACUAUAUAUAGAAGUACGUAGUUCCCGCAUCGACGUCGGCGAUGCCUAUCCCGCAUCCUCGUCGUCGUCGACUCGGCGGUGGAGGCCUGCUUGAUCAGGGCCUUGUUCGGGACUGGGCUCCGCCGAGCUGGUAUUGGGAGGUGCUACCUUCUGGGGGACGUAGGUUGGUGAGGAGGCAGCCCGUUGUUGACCCGAUCCUUGUUUGGUGGCGGUCGCGUGGGCCAGUGACGGUACCGAGGCUUCCGGACACCGCGGAGGUGGUACGUCACCGUGUCAGCGAGGAGGACGAGCACGUCCGUCGCUACAUGGUUGCGUUGGAGAGCAGGUUCGACAAUACCUGGCAGGUUCUUCAGGGAUCUCACUGGAGCUAUGAUCCUGUGAUCGUUCCUUAUCUUUGGGUGUCCACCGCCCGCGACGAUACCCGUCGGGCGCUACGGUUCUAGCUGUAUUAAUUAGCGAUGCUAUAUGUAUGAUAGUAUUCGAGGAGUAUUUGACGAUGUACGGACACAAGAGAUGAUGUACUUUUGGUUAUAAUUGAAUGCAUGCUAAUUUGAAUACUACUUUAUUUUACGAUUUGGUUUUGCUUAUUGAAUGCUCAUAUUGGAAAAGUACUCCUACUUUGACUGCUCAUAUUUGGUUUACGCCGUCGUGGGGGUAGCUUCUCCUUCAUUCCCGUGUGCUAGAUAAUUUGUUGUAAUAAUGCACUCGGGAAUGAAAGGAGGAGCUACAUACCAUCACCGAUAGUCAACCCGUGAUUAAUAAUAAUGAUCUGAUUUAGGUUUUUUAGUACAUAUAUUUAAUAUUUGAAUUAUGAACUUAGGCCGGAAAUGUCAUACUUGGACGAUGGAAACCGCCUAGGGGAGUGCGACUGGUGCCACGACGACCGAGGUAUUUGCGACAGGUUCAUUGAUCUGGACGAAGAUCGGCGCUUCAGCAUUAAGCUCGAGGAGACCUUCGAUGUUCAUAUGGUACGCAACGACGACAAUAGUUUUUUUCGUAAUUAAGCACGACUUCAACUAUUUUAACGUGUAUUUUUCAUCUUUUCCAAUUCGACUAGCUUAUCCCAUGCUUUGCAAGACGCUAUGUCUUGGAGAGGAUGGGUUUUGAAGACCAUGAAAGUAUGGAAACCAAAAGAAUUAUCCUAAGUACCCAUCAUGGUGUAGAUUUUCAAGUAAAGUUGUACAAUGCUCAGAGUGUAACCCAUUUUGGUUCCAAAAACUGGGAAACAAUUUGCAAGAUGUAUGGUUUUGAUGAGGGUAUGCUUGUCACCAUGGAUCUUGGUGAUCCUACAAUCGCGCAAGAGAUACCUACGAUUUUCGUCCUUGUGGAUACACCUCCAAUUCUUCCCUCAUGUGAGCUUAACAUAGUUAUUAAGUAAUUUAUAUUGUUUAUUUCAAAAUAGUUGACAACUUAUUCUCCAUUGACAGCUUAUUUUUAUUCUUCAAAGAAUGUGCGGAAGAUGGUAGACAGAACCUACUACACCGAAGGCUCCGAACUAACUUAUCAGGAGAAAAAUCAUCUGGUCGCAUUUUGUACUGAUCUUGAGAAUUACAAUGUCUACAAUCGAACUCCUCAACAUUAUGGUCAAUACGUGCCACUAGUGCACGUGUUGAACUAUGGUAACUAUCAUGGAGAUACCCUGGUAAGAUUUUUUACUAUUACGACAUCCGUGCAUCUUUUUGCACACUUUUAAAACUAGUACAUCAUAUCAUUGCUAACUACAAAGUUAUUACUAUGUUUUUCAACAGAUAAUCCCAAAUGAUUGUGUGCCUCAUCUGAUGUAUACACACGGUAGCCUUCAUGUUUUGAACAUACAACCAGGUCUUCCUACGAAUCUGAACUAUCCAUACCGGGUUUCUAAAAGAAGUGGAGACAUGACAAUCAAAGAAUGGAGAAAAUGUAUGGACAUUCGUAAGGAGCUUCUUGGAAGCAACAUUCAGCGAAGGGCAAAAAUUAAAGACAGGAUGAUCGCCAUUCUUCAUAAUGAAGAGUCAGAGUCUAUAUUGUUUUAUGCUAUUUUACCUUAAGGGUGUUUAGGUCCUACCUGAUACUGAUGAUCAUGUGCUAAGAACAAUUAUGUAGGGUUGGGUUCGAUGACUAUGAGGAUGAUGAUCGUAUGACUUAUUAUUAAUAACGAGUAGAAGUUGUAUGAUGAUGCAUGAUUAGUAGGACGAGUACUUGUUAUUAUAUAUGCUGAUGUAUGCGAGCAUGCACGAGUUAUUAUAUCAGCGGGUAAAAUGAACAUAUAUAGCAGCAACGUUGGUAAACCAAGGACGAAGGUAUAAGAGAGGACACUUCUCUCUAUUAGCUAGCUAAUAUAACAACCUAAAAAUAACCCCCAAAACUCCUAAAGCAGCCACUUUCCAAAAAAAACAUGGACUUUUGGUCCCGAUUGGUGCCACCAACCGGGACCAAAGGCCCUUUGACUGGGCUCGGCGCACAGGGCCACGUGGAGGCACAUUGGUCCCGGUUCAUGUUUGAACCGGGACUAAUGGGUGGAGGUAUUAGUAACGACCCAUUAGUCCCGGUUCAUGAACCGGGACUAAAGGCCCUUACGAACCGGGACUAUUAGGUAUUUUUCUACUAGUGGUAGUACCGAGUUAUGGUAGGCUUGUGAUCAAGCUUGCCGGUUAUUAGAUUAGGAGAGUCCGGUUAGGACUUGAGUCACUUCCGUGUUGGGUUAGGAGUUAGGCUCAGGUCGGUUUGCUAUAUAUAUAUAUAUAUAUAUAUGUGUGUGUGUGUGUGUGUGUGUGUGUGUGUGUGUAGAAAUAAAGAGGAAAACAAAGGGCACGAUACGGGCCCUUGGCUAUCAAUUUUGUGUGCAGGUGUGUUUGUGUUAUUCUGAUGUGAUCGAUCCUGCGGGCGAAUUUCCAACAAUCUCCAAUGUCUAUUUGACGGCGCUUGUUCUUGUCGCUCUUGCAAAUCUAAUUGUUCUGCCCAUUAUGAGCAGUCGGCUGGUUUGAGGUUCUCCUUUUGGAAUAUGUCAUCUUCCUCUCCAUUUGCAUAUCGGUUGGUCAUGUCCAUCAAUAGGCGCAUGAAGGUAAUCCUAGUUAGCCCCAGCUUAAGCUGGAGGUGUUUGUACCUCACACCCCGUUGGAAGGCCAGGAUGGCUCUAUCCUCUGUGAUGCCCUCCACGGCGUUGCUUAGCUGAGGUCCACCUCUAUGUAAUCCCGAGUGGUCUCCUAACACGUCUUUAAAGGUAAUUUGUUUAUCCACUGUAUGCUUUUUGUUCAACGGAGAAUUCUUUAGUGAAAACUAUGGUCCUCGGGUCUACUUUUAUCACAAAAUAUCUUGCUGCAAUUUAUUUACUGUUAAUUUAUUUUGUGUUCUAUUUCUAUCUAUUACUAUCAGAUUUGAUCCUUGCAAACAACCGACAAGGGGAUUGCCAACCCCCUUGAUCGCAUUGGGUGCAAAUAUUUGCUGUUUUGUGCGUAGGUGCUGAUAACGAGGUUUCAUGUGGUUCUUCUACUGGAUUGAUAACCUUGGUUCUUAACUGAAGGAAAUACUUAUCUCUACUGUACUGCAAUCCUCUCCUCUUCGAGAAAAUCUCAACGCAGCUCACAAGUAGCACCUCCUUGGGCCCUCACACACAAAAAACAUUAGUUCCUAUUAACCUACGAGACGUGUGUACAUACCCUAGAAGUUCUUGAAGAAGACAUCCUCCAGCUCUUCUCAGGGGUAAAUACUAUUUUUCCGGUAGAUUGUUGAUCCUCGCUCUAGUUCAUCCCUCCAAGAAAGAGACAAGUUCGGCGUAGAUAGAUUCUCAUUACCGCCUCCGAUCUGCACGGGCAAUAGGUAAUCUGCGAGCCAAGUUUCCGACUUGGUGUUUCCAUCAUAGUAAUCUGCGAGCCAAGUUUCCGACUUGGUGUUUCCAUCAUACUUCUAAAUUCCAAAACCCAUCUAGAAUCGAUAGGGUAAAGGAACCAUACGGAUCUUCUGACUUAAGCACAAUGGGCCUAAGGAUCCUGAUCCACUCGGUCAGUCAUGCUCCUGUUCAUGCCUUGCAUCGUGUGCAUGAUCCCCUCGCUUUUGAACGAAGGUUUUGCGUGUGUCGUAGUGCUGGUCACCCCAUUGGUGUGGAGAAUUCGCCCGUAUCCUAGGUGAAUCUCUAUUAUGUCAGGGCGAGUCAUCACGCCUAUGACGUUGACCGUCUUGUCUGCGUGGCUGGUCAUCCAACUGUCAAGGUGAACAAUCCCGAUUGCGAGGCGAAAAAUCAUGAUGUUGGGGAUAAGCAUUCUGAUGGCAUGGAGAAUCAUCACAUUGAUGAGGAAGAGUCCUCUGUCUUUGUUGAGAGUAAUCGUCUUGACCACGGGGAACAUCUCUAUGCCCCCGUGGUAAGACGCCAUCAUGGUGUCAAGGAGAAUCUAGUCGGUGUCAUGGAGAAGGGUCCUCACGCCACCGAGGAGGGUCCUCCCAGCGACAUGGAAAUGGCUCAUGCACAUCCCCCCACACAGUUGUCGGCCCUGCGCCUGGCCAACUGUCAUUUGUGUGAAGAGGCUAUUGUUGGCACUCGGUUUUUGGUUCCCACAGGCACUUUGCUGCGAGAAGCCAGACAUUUUUUAAUCAUGUUGUUCUGCACGACCGUGACCUUCAAGAAAUUCGACAGCUGCCGGAUGUCGUCAGCGAUGUCUCUGUCUCCCUGUUGUUGGAUUGUGUCUGCCACUCUAGUCGAAGCCUAGACACUUUCAAUCAGGGUACGCAUGAUUCCGGAGUCACCUGGGCCUUCGGCUGCAAACUUGUUGUUGAUAUCUUGCCCUCGUCAAACUACAGACUGGGACGUCUGCUGAUGUUGCCGACUGUUGUCCGCUAGCGCUUGCUCUCCCGCGAUGAGGUUCUGGUGGCUUUUGCGCAAGGCGAGCAUGCUCGGCCAGAGUGGAAUGAUGUGACACCUCUAAGACUUUGUCAGCCGGUGAAUCCCCUAAGAUCGGGGUGUUGAGGAGCUGCUCGAUGGUUUCUUGGGUGAGAUGUUGCCUGUCACAAGAUACAACAUUGCUGGUUGUGGGAGAUGAAUCGAUCGGUGCACCCCAUCGAAGUCUAGACUAGGGGUGUGCCAGCCAUGAAAACUUCCGACAUGGGACUCUGAGUCCCGCAGCCAUCUUCCUCCUCGAAGUCGGACUCCAGCAGAUGGAUCAAUUAUUCAUUGUCCAUCAUCUCGAUGAACUGGCUUGCUGAAUGACAAAACUAUGGGUGAGGCUUGCCUGAGAGCUUUCUACAGCGUCAUGGCGCCAAACCAACCGGCUGAUGCGAACCCAUAGUUGAAGGCUCAAAAUGCUUAGGCCAUUGGUCCGAUAAUGGAUACUCAUGCUGACAUGUUGGUGCAAUUCAACGGAGCAUAAUUGAAUCGUCUACGGCGAACUCGAGGACACCAAAAUGGAUGCGGCCAAAAGGAGUUGACGAGAAACCUCAAUAGACGCUCUCCCCAAGGUGGUUGCCAACUGUCGUGGAUAUAAUCCUGACAAUAAUAAGGGGUGUGUAUGUAGAAGCAACUGUAUCUAUCAAAUAGUACAAUGGGAGUAUGGUCAAGAAAUUAUAUAGGUUCGGGCCCUCUUUGAAGAUAAUACCCUACUCUUGUGGUGCUCUUGUUGGAAAUAUGCCCUAGAGGUAAUAAUAAAUUAGUUAUUAUUAUUAUAUUUCCUUGUUCAUGAUAAUCUUUUAUUAUCCAUGCUAUAAUUGUAUUGAUAGGAAACUCAGAUACAUGUGUGGGUACAUAGACAACACCAUGUCCCUAGUAAGCAUCUAGUUGACUAGCUCGUUGAUCAACAAAUGGUUACGAUUUCCUGACCAUGGACAUUGGAUGUCGUUGAUAAUGGGAUCACAUCAUUAGGAGAAUGAUGUGAUGGACAAGACCCAAUCCUAAGCCUAGCACAAAGAUCGUAGUUCGUAUGCUAAAGCUUUUCUAAUGUCAAGUAUCAUUUCCUUAGACCAUGAGAUUGUGCAACUCCCGGAUACCGUAGGAAUGCUUUGGGUGCACCAAACGUCACAACGUAACUGGGUGGCUAUAAAGGUGCACUACAGGUAUCUCCGAAAGUAUCUGUUGGGCCCACUCGUCAUAAUGUGCACAAUGUGACCAAGGGGUUGAUCACGGAAUUAUGUGUUACGGAACGAGUAAAGAGACUUGCCGGUAACGAGAUUGAACAAGGUAUCGGCAUACCGACGAUCGAAUCUCGGGCAAGUACAAUACCGCUAGACAAAGGGAACUGAAUACGGGAUUGAUUGAAUCCUUGACAUCGUGGUUCAUCCGAUGAGAUCAUCGUGGAACAUGUGGGAGCCAACAUGGGUAUCCAGAUCCCGCUGUUGGUUAUUGACCAGAGAAUGUCUCGGUCAUGUCUGCAUGGUUCCCGAACCCGUAGAGUCUACACACUUAAGGUUCGAUGACGCUAGGGUUAUAAAGGAAGUUUGUAUGUGGUUACCGAAUAUUGUUUCGGAGUCCCGGAUGAGAUCCCGAACGUCAGGAGGAGUUCCGGAAUGGUCCGGAGGUAAAGAUUUAUAUAUGGGAAGUCCUGUUUUGGUCACCAGAAAAGUUUCGGGUUUUAUCGGUAACGUACCGGGACCAGCGGGAGGGUCCCGGGGGUCCACCAAGUGGGGCCACCAUCCCCGGAGGGCUGCAUGGGCCAAGUGUGGGAGGGGACCAGCCCCAGGUGGGCUGGUGCGCCCCCCCACAAGGGCCCAAGGCGCCUAGUGUUUGGGAAGGGGGGCGCACCCACCUAACUUGGGGGGCAAGUUUCCCCUCUCCCCCCCUUGGCCGCCCCCCAAAUGGGAUCUUGGGCUGGCCGCCGCCCCUAGGGUGGAACCCUAGGUGGGGGCGCAGCCCCCCCUCUCCCCCUAUAUAUAGUGGAGGCAAAGGGGCAGCCCAACACACGAAGUUUCUUCUCCUGUUGGCGCAGCCCUACCUCUCUUUCUC